AGGCGCAGAAGUGGCUGUAUGAUAAGAAGCUUGCUUCCCAAGCAGAUGGUUCCGGGUUCAGUCCGACUGCGUGGCACCUUGGGUAAGUGUUUUGAACUAUAGCCUCGGGCCGACCAAAGCCUUGUGAGUGGAUUUGGUAGACGGAAACUGAAAGAAGCCUGUCGUAUAUAUAUAUAUAUAUAUAUAUAUAUAUUUCCUUUCCUGAGCGUCCAAUAACACUAUACUUGUUCCACGUCCUCGCAUUGUGUUUUCUCUUUGUUCAUGUUUGGAUUAACCUCUCUCUCUCUCUCUCUCUCUCUCUCUCUCUCUCUCUCUCUCUCUCUCUCUCCAUAUAUAUAUAUAUAUAUAUAUAGGUGAGAAAGUUGGUGUGUGAAAGCACGUGGUUGAAUAUAUAGAAAAUAGUAAAAAGUGAAAAAACUACAAAAGGCUUGUUUUAAAAGGUUAAAAAAUAUAUAUUUGAGUCAAUAUGUAUGAAGAAUGUUAUAAAUUUUUUUCAUACAAUGACAUAGUUUUUGAAGAAAUGACCGGUUUCGCGUUCAGCUUUUCAAAUUUCUUACAUCGUUAUGUUUACGUUGAGAAGAGUUAUCGUUAUGUUUAUGUUGAGAAGAGUUCCAGAUAAGGGGACAGACAGACAGACAGACAGACGGACAGACAGACAAACAGUUAGAUAUGCAUAUGUCCAUGCAUACAUACACACAUGCAUGCAUACAUGCAUACACACAUACAUACAUAAAUACAUGCUUGCAUGCGCACAUGCAUACAAGCAUACAAACAAUCUUACGAUCAUGUGUCCAACACCCUAACCACUAAGCCACGCGCCUCCACGCUACUUCCUUUUCAAUAUCAUUGAUAUUCCCCGUGCUGUGAUUCCAAUGUCUCUCCUAAUUUACUUGGAUAAUACAUUAAAUAACCUUGUCUGAUCCAUCAUCUUAUCCUGCAGUUCAUUUUUGUAUUUCGCUAAAUAAACCAUUUUGUAUGUAUGUAUGUAUGUAUGUAUGUAUGUAUGUAUGUAUGUAUGUAUGUAUGUAUGUAUGUAUGUAUGAAUGUAUAUAUGUGUGUAUGUAUGUGUACGUACGUAUGUAUGUAUAUAUGUUUGUAUGCAUGUAUGCAUGUGCGCAUGCAAGCAUGUAUUUAUGUAUGUAUGUGUGUAUGCAUGUAUGCAUGCAUGUGUGUAUGUAUGCAUGGACAUAUGCAUAUCCAACUGUUUGUCUGUCUGUCCGUCUGUCUGUCUGUCUGUCUGUCUAUCUAAAUAUCUAUCUGCUAUACAUACAUAUAUACAUUAUAUAUAUAUAUAGUUAAAAUUUAUAGAAAAACAAAAGACGAAGGCAGGUGUAUGAACAACAACACACGCACACACACACACACACACACACACACACAUGUAUUUACGUAUGAUUUAAUAUAUAAUACAAUACAUUUUGAUAUAACGUAAUAUUUUGUCAUAUUAUAUCAUAUUAUAUUAAAUAUAUUCGUAAAGUCACUGGAUGCUUUUACGGCCUCUUUUAAAAAUUUGCGUCUUCUUAUCGCACUCUAUGGGUAUGCAUGACUUUUUUCGAGGGAAUAAUACUUGAGAAAAAAAUUGAAAGAAACCGCUUUAUAUUCAAUCAUGUUCGAAACGUACAGAUCAAUUAUUAACUUAUACAACCUUAAAGUUUGUCAUAAAUAGUGUAAUAAUCUUUAAAUGUCCUUUUUAUGAACAGAAAAAAAAACUUAGAAUCCUUCGUGCGUUCAAGAAAAAUGUCCAUCUAGUUAUUGUUAAGUAUCAGGCUUAUACUGUUUUAGAAAACCUAUGAAACAAAGGUAUUGCAACUAUGAACAGCCGAUUUAUUGUUACCUAAUAUUGCAUUUUAGUAUGUUCUUUUAGAUUGCUAUAAUUUAGAGGAGAUUUGAUAGUUAUUUCUAGCAGGUUGAGCGACCACGUAGAGUCUCUCUUUUCUCGCAUUCGUCUAAAAUAUUGUCGGUGUCUGUACGCAAUGAGUUAAUCAUGGGACGUUGCACUACCCUAGCCACUACACAUAGCUCGAGUUCGGAACUGAAGUCCAAGUCGAGUGGUAAUGCAUCAAAAACGAAUGGUGGAUCCUAAAGCCUGGCUCUAGAAGCUUACCACUUGCUCUGCAGUGUGAGCAAUGCACUGUUAAAGAUAAGAAUCUCUUACAUUGGCUUCAAUGCUACAAGUUGUUGUUACGCUAUAAAUCAUUAUAUGAUCAAAAGCGUCGCAGUGGUGGCUAUGCAGCCUUUUUUUCAGGCAUUGCGUAUCUAAUAUCACAUCAUCUAAUGUAAUAUUUUAGAUAUAAUCUUCGUAAAAUGGUAGGAGAAUUUGAAUGUAAGUUGGUUGCGUUUUCUGACAGAUCGAGUGUGUACAUAAAAGCUCUUUGAAUGGUUCAUAAAAAUUACAGUCUUACAGAGGACUGAGUCAACGACAGCUCAGACUUUGUUAUUUCCUCGAACCUGGGAGCAUGAAAUCCGUUCUGAUUGGGUUUCAAUUCAGAACCUAGCGGAUGUAAGUAGACAAACAUAGCUGGUUAGUUUACGUGACAAUCUACAUAUUGUUCCCACCAACACAGCCCUUUCGCACAGGUUAAAAGACAACGUUGUUAGUUAGUAAUGAUUAAGUGGAUUCGAUUCAGACCAACCUUUUUCGGCAUUGCCAAUGCAGCAAUUAAUCUUUAUCUGAGCUUUUUUUUUUAUGUCUCUCAUGUGCACGAUUUUUUUUUACUUAUUAAUUUGGUGUCGCUUUCAUAUCAAAAAUUUCAAUUUAUGAGACGACAAACAUAUACUGUUCAUUUUGAUACGCUUUAAGAUUUUUAAAUGGGGAACUAUGUUCAUCAUCAUCAUCAUCAUCAUAUGUGUGUUUGUGUGUGUAUGCAUGUAUGUAUGUACGUAUGUAUGUAUCUAUGUAUUGACUACAAGGUUAUUGAAUUUUACCUAAAAAAAACAUUCACAACAGCAAACAAAAUCAAAUCAAAAGCAAAAUAAAAUAAUGAAGAAAGAAACAUCUAGAUGUAAGUAAAGAUUAUCGAUUUAUAUAUGUGAUUAAACAAAAAUACUAAAAUGUUUAAAAUUGUUUAAACAUAAGGAAACCAAUGUAAUGUUGAUUUGUUAUGGGUAAUAAAGCACAAUCUUCGUUGGACCAAAUCUGAUUUCUAUGUCGCCUAACUUAAGUAUUCGUCUUUGUAAAGAAUUUCCUGAACAGUUUGUUGAUUUAUUUUCUUUGGAAUCUAGAAAUGUUGUGCUACCUAACGUUUCUAAUGAUAUUAUGCAUAUGGUUGCACCUGGUCAUAUGUCCUGCAAAAUACAUGAUAUUUGUAUAUUUUUGAAAGCAAUUUAAAUGUAAAUAUAUAAAUUAACAUGUCAUUAAUUGAAUAUUUGAGAUACCUUGUUCCAACUUAUACCGAGAUAUUUUUAAUGUUUUAUUUAAGAUAUUAUCUUGUAGAUUGCUGCAAUUCACUUUCAUACUAGGAGAACUUAUACAUUAUCAGUCACAUAUCUUUUGUUGAAAAUGAUAAACUUAUCUGAUACUGAGCGAAAAUAUGCAUAUGAACGUAGGUGUGCAAGUUUAUCUAACUACUGUGUUUGUUUUCUCCAAAAUAACAAAUGUAGGUGUCUACAUAUAUUCUGCUUAUUAAUUAUUAAGAAGUCUUUUACAAGCAUUCGCAAGUUUGCAUAUAUACCGUGUUUUCUUCCUCCACUAUUACAAAUGAGUCUGUAUAUAGUGUUUAUCAACUAUUUUGUAAAUCGUCUUUAGAAAACAAUGUUCUUUAAUGUUGCAAGACAACGAUAAAGCUUGUAUAUUUCAUAAUAGGUUGGUGAUUUGCAAACUGCCAUUGCCAUUGUGACGUGUUCGACUCCAAGAGAUAGUUUCGAUGCUCGAUAAAUACAAAUUCGUACUCGUAUGAAUAGCAGUAAUCCCACACAAUCUCAUUAUUUUGUAAUAAAUAAAUUAUAUGCAUUACGAUUUACUGUCAAGAGCAGUAAGUAUGCUUUUGGCAAGUUGAAUUCUCGACAUGGUUUCACUAUUUUCUGGUAAUGGUGUUCUGUAAUAUUUUCCUGUUCUUUGUAUGAGCAAUGAAUAAUCAUGUAUGUGUCAAAAUGUUCAAAUGAUAUUUCAUUAGCUACUUGCAAUAUGUAUAUACAUGAAAUUAUCGAUUCUGUCGACUCGAGAUUUGUACGGUCGACUUAAUAGUGGUUGAGUGAAACCCUAGUUUUUAUAUCUGUUUAUCUCAUACUAGCAGUAUAUCCCAGCGUUGCUCGGGCUUGUUUUCUUUUCGACCCUUUAGAAUUGGAAUUUUUGAAAAGUAAAAAUGUUGCAUUAUGUAGCUUGUUAUUCUCUUUAAGUGAACAUUUUUCUGAUUGAAAUACACCGAAAAAUGGCGACACAGCAGUCAAAAAAUCGUAAAAAAUAAGGUUUUUCAUAGAAAAAAAAGCACCUUUUUUAUAUAAAUAAUUUUUGGUGUUAACAUGGUUCGAUUUGAAUGUUUUCUUCUACGAAAGGAAGAGCAAGCCUUCUUCUAUCAUACUCUCUCAAUGUUGGUCAACUUUCGCCGCAGGGUCUCGGAGGAGAUAGUGUUAGUUGAAGGCUACCAAACCUGCCAUACACAGACAACUUCAGCUUUAUAUAUAUAGAUAAGUUAACAUGUAACAGACUCCAAGAACUUUCUAUUCAAAAGAAAAUUUAUAGAAUACUGAAGUGUUUUUAUACCACAAAAGAAACUAAACCCGUACCUAUGUGCAUGUGUGUAUGUGUGAGUGUGUGUGAGUGUACAUAUACAUUUAUGAUAUUCUCUGUGAUGUAUACAUAUAAUGUAUAUCUAUGUAUCUAUCUUUUCUAUGAUUAUAUAUUUGUGCUCCUGUGCCCCAAAAUUGAGGUAUUAUUGAUGCAUACCGCAUAGAACUUUUGUUAUCUUACAACUUUUUAUUAUGUCCAAAUUAACUCAGUUUCCCUUACAAAGAAUAAUAGGUGUUUAAAUUUCGACCGUCAGAUACACUCUUAUGUGCAUUGAUCAACUAAAUACAUCUGAUGGAAAAUUUGUUAAGGGAUCGCAACAAAUAUCAGCAAUUUUUGUUACGACAGUGAAUUAGUUUUUUUUAUUCACCACUGUGAUAUAUAUAACUGCACUGUGUAUUUCAUUAUUUUACAAAUAGGUGGUCUGUUUAUGAGGUAUCUUUUGAACUGGAUAAGAAGCCCGUCUAUAAUAGCUUUUACCAAUUUUACAUUGAAACUCAACGUUGUAAGUUAAUGAAAUAUUAAGCAAAAAGUAAUUAGCGAAUUCUCUUUCAACAUAAUUAUUACAAAAGAAUUCCAGUGCUAAGAUUAGUAAGCUGCGCUGCCUCAUAAUGUCUUUUGGGGAACCAAGUGAUUUGGCUAUUGGAAUAUAUGUGUCUGUGUCAUAAACACGUUCAUGAAAAACGUCUAGGUACAAAAUGUCGGCACUUCACCUAAAAGGCCGACAUCAAAACGACUAUUAUACAUGCACACACACACACACACACACAUACAUAUAUAUGCAUGCAUACACAUAUAUUCAGUGUGUGUGCCUGCACGUUCAAUCCUAGUUUCCCUGGAUUCAAGAAUUUGGGUUAAAUUAUUAUGGCUUCUUUUCAAUCUGUACCAAAAUCGCCUAUUGUAUAGGAGAGAGAAAUGUAUCAUUCAUAAUUUUCUUCAAAAGCGUUUAUGGCAUAUGUAAUGCAAAAUAGUUGCUAGCAAGAAUCGAAACAUCAUAGUGGUUUGGACUUGACAGAAACCUUCUUCCUGUUGUACAGUAUACACCAUUAGAUGUUUAAUAAGUUGUACAGUAUACACAUUAGAUGUUUAAACAAGCUAACCACACUUUCAGUAUAAUUUUAUAGCAUUUUAUAGUCAUAACACCAAGUCAUUCCACUUGUUAUUUCUUAGCAAACCCUAUUUCUCUCUGCCUCUUAAACUAAAAACAGCCUGUUGGUGGCAGCAGCGGAGGUCGCCAGUCAAACUACAAAUUUAAUCUUUUAGGAAAAUCGCCAAUAAAAGACUAUUUGAACAUCUAUGCUAAUAAUAUAGCAAGACUUUGCUCACACAUGGUAACAGAACUGAUUGUCAUUUGAAAUAGAUUCCUUAGAUAUUUAUGAUAUUUCAACUUUUCCCUCGUCUUUUUAUAACUCUAAAUUAAAUAAUUUACUCUGUCACUCUCUAAAUAUAUAUGCCAGCAUUAUAGAGAAAUGGACGAAUAGAAAAAUUACUCUCCUUUUUUUAUUUCAAGUUCGUUUAAAAGUUGCUUUUAAAAAUUUUUUUUGCCUCUGACAAAGUAUUUGUCAAAAAUAGAUGAGCAAGAAAAGAUAAGUGGUACAUUAUAUAUAUAUAUAUAUAUAUAUAUAACACACACACACACACACACACACACAUAUAUAUAUAUAUAUAUAUAUAUAUAUAUAUAUAUAUAUAUAUAUACAUUUUGUUAAUAUCAAAACUACAAUAAAAUAUAGAAAAUUAUCCUUAACACGUUAGCUAAGUCAUCAAUCUGAAUAAUUUCCCAUUGAAACAUUAUUUCAUUAAUUAAAGUUUCAAUGGCAAAGAUUUUAAGAUGUAGCUUUUAACCAUGUUGAUAACAUCUUGAAGCUUUACAGAUUAACUCAGCGUUUCUCUGAAGGCAGGGAGAUACAGAGAAACACUUAAGUGCUAGAGAUGUCAAGUGAAGCUUAGAUUGGAUUGGAUUUCUAAAUUAUUGAGAUAUGUCACUCAUCUGUCACAUUGAAAAUAUGGCUUCAGAACAGUAAAGUUUGUAACUAAAUGAAAUAACAUCAGAAACCUGAUAGCAAAAUGAUGAAGCUGCAAAGUUUUAGCAAAUUAAUUAAAGAGAAAAGACAUAUUUAAAAUGGAUAUUCAACAAAUUGUGAAAAUAAUUGUUUCUCAGUAUUUUGAAUUAUAUCAAACUAUCUAUCUUAAAUAGCACUGAGUAAACAAACUAUUGUUUCGUACAGAAGCUUAUCAUAGUAGAAUAGUCGGAUACUGGGAAUGAGAGCUUAAAGUCGGGUCAUAUGCCUAAAUAAACUGUUUUGUGCUGUUAUUAUACAUGAGUUUGUAAGCAGUUAUCAUAAUUAUUUUUUUCAUACAGUGAGCACAAAACUAAUUCUUCUUGAGGUUUGAAUUUCAACUCCAUAUAUGAAAGUUAUAUGACUGGCGUCAUUACUUCAACGCUAAAAGUAGUGUUGACUUCUCGGUUUCCAUUUUAUUUACGUGUAAUCUUGCCCAAUGCCUAAUAGAUGUAUAGUAAACAAAGUAGAAAACAAAUGGCUUUUAUCAUAAGGUUACAUACUGUAACCUUAUGAUAAAAACCAUGACAUCGUUAGUCGAGAUGCUAACUCUUUCGUUACUAUAUUUAUUUUGAGAUGUUCUAAAAUGCGACUAAGGUUUAGUGGAAGAUUUUAAUUCAAAACUUAUGGAAUCAAGACAUUUGUACUCAGAGCCAGAGCCGGUUUCAGCCGGGUUGCCGAUGAAAGAGUUCAGUAAAAGACAUUUAAGAUUUAGAUACUACUUUCAGUAUAUGUGUAAACUAUAUUAUGAAAUGCAAAUAGCUAUUGUAUUUAGACACACACACACACACACACACAUUCAUUUAUUCUUUUACUUGCUUCAGUCAUUUGACUGCGGCCAUGCUGGAGCACCGCUUUGAAGGAUAUUUAGUCGGAUAAAUCGACCCCAGGACUUAUUUCUUAAGCCUAAUGCAAAUUCUAUCGAUGACUUUUGCCGAACCGCUAUGUUACGGGGGGAGGGUAAAUACUCCAACACCGGCCAUUAAACGGUGAUAGGGACACAAAUACACACUCACACAUACAGAUAUAGAUAUACGACGGGUAUCUUUCAGUUUCCGUCUACCAAAUCCACUCACAAGGCUUUAGUUUGUCCGGGGCAAUAGUAUAUGAUACUUGGCCAAGGUGCCAUGCAAUGGGACUAAACCCGUAACCAUGUGGUUGAGAAGCAAGCUUCUUACCACACAGCCGCGUGCGUGGUUGGUAGUUCUAAUUGAUAAUUAAUAGAACAUUGCAAAUAUUAGUGUUACAUAUCAUGUAGGAAGUUGGUACAAACAAUGAAUCAAAUAUCUAAAUAUUUUACCGCAUUUCAUUUCAUCUUUCCUAACGAUUUAUGCUACAACUUUUAUUGGUAUAGAUUAAAUAAAUAUCAUUAUGAAUGCAGAACUCGAGCAUCACCUUGACAGUGAUGGCUUAAACAAACUGAAAACGAUAUAAAAUAAAUAUAAGUAACAAAGUGGCCUUGUGUUUGGUACAAAUAAAUCAGUUUUACUUUUAACUGCAUUUAAGUUGAACUGUGUUGGAGUUGAAAAAAAACUGUAUGGCGCCAACAAAUUUUAGUUGACUUUAUGAGAAUAAAACAACGUUAAAUUUAAUAGAAAUAUAUGAAAAUGAAAAUUGAGUAUUCAACAAGUUUCUAAAAAUUAAACACAUAUUUGCAGAUUAUUUUUCCAUAAUUCAACGACUAUGCUUUAUUUGUUUUCGUGAGUGAAAUCAAAUAGUGUUGUUUUAAUUAGUCUGUGGUUCUUAUAAUUGAUUUUAGAAUUCCUAGAAUAUGGCUUUACCUCCGUGAUAGAAUUGUACUUAAACAUUUUUAUUGUUGAAUGAAAUUAUACUGUUUACUUCAAUCAUUGGAGAAUGCCAUGGACUCUAGUUAGGAUUCUGACAAACCAAGUUUGUAUCAAAGUUUCGACUCAAUAUAUUGCCAUUUGACCUUACUUUCCUCACUAAUAGCUUUCGGAAAGAUAUGAACGUCUCAACGUACAAUAUUGAAUCAUUUAAAGAUAUUCAAGAAAUAAUAGACUGUCUGGCCUCUCGUGCUCUCUUGGCCCAUAGCAAAAACUGAACCCAUCAGUUCAGGUUGACAAAAUGUCCAUGAAUUACACAAGGUUUUUUUUAAGAAAAAAGUCCAAGAUUCCAAAGCCUUGUGAGUGGAUUUUGUAGACAGAAACUGAAAGAAACCUGUCGUAUAUAUAUAUGUAUAUGCUUGUGUGUCAUUUAGUUUUUUCAUUAUUUUGAGUUAUCUUACAUAGUACUGAGUAAACGAACUGUUGUUUAAUACAAAGUUUAUCAUGGUAGAAUAGCUGGGUAUGCGAUGGAAGUAAAUCUAUGAUUAGUUAGCAAGAUUUAACUGUUUUGUAUAAUUGACCAUAACACUGUGCAAUGUAAUUGUCAGAAUGCGAACCCUUUACCUGUCAGCUGGCGUACUGAACACGUUAUCUACUUGAACAUCUGCAGUUUUCGCUUUAUUUAAAUAUUUAUUCAUUCUAUUUAUUACGGGUGUUAUUGCUAGGAUUAUGGAAAUGCUAGUGCAUUACUUUGUAGGGUGCAGUCGAUUGAUCGACACCACCACUUCUAUCACUAGUACUUAGUUUUCAUCAAUUGGUAUUUAUUUCAUUGACUUUGGAAGCAUGAAAUUAAUUUAUUUUGAAAUUUCUCUUUUCAAGUAAGUCCAUUUGAUAUAAUGAAUUUCAUCGAGCAGUCAAUACUUGUUCUCUACUCAACGCUAUUUAAAACAUCGCAUGGUCACAACUUUCUGUUACCCCUUUUCGGAAUUGCAAGGAUUCACUAGGUUGGUGCGUCUCUUUAGUUUCCGUCGUUCUAAUCGUGUGACAAACAAUUCCAACAUUGGAAACGACUCUGUUGCAUAAAUAUUUCUUCCAAAUAAUGAAUUGAACUUAGGACUGCAAACCAUCGAAUGUACUCGUCUAUUCCAUUGCAACUGUACCUGCAUAAAUGAAUAACACUGUCAUAUAUAUAUAUGUAUGUAUGCAUACAUGCAUAUUUGAUAUUUAAUAUGUAUAAUUAUAUAUGUAUAUAUAUAUGUGUGUGUGUGUGCAUAUAUAUAGGUACAUAUUUGAUUUUUAAUAUAUAUAAUAAUAUAUGUAUAUAAAUAUGUAUGUAUAUAUGUGUGUAUUUAUGUAUUUAUGUAUGUAUGUAUGCAUAUAUAUAUAUAUAUAUAUAUAUAUAUAUAUAUAUAUAUAUAUAGAGAGAGAGAGAGAGAGAGAGAGAGAGAGAGAAGAGCAGCUAUGCGAUUAAGAAGUUCGGUUCGCAACCAUAUUGCUUCUGGUUCAGUCGCCCUUUGUGGCACUUUGGGCAUGAGUUGCUUACUACUAUUGUCCCAGGUCGACCAAUACAAUUGCGAGUGUAUUUGGUAGAAACUGAAUGGAGUCUCGUCGUAUGUAUAUGUGCGUGCGUUAGUACAUGUAUGUGCGGGCGUGUGUGUGUGAGCGCGCAUGCAUGCGCAUUUUUCUGUGUGUUUCUAUCGGUAAUGGUUUGUUUACGUCCUCGUCACCGAGCGGUUCAGCAAACUAGAUGGUAGAAUAAAUAUCAAGCUUUUACUGGGACGAUUUGUUCGACUAAACACUUCAAGGUGGUGACUUCAACAUGGCCGCAAUCCAAUGAUUGUAACAAAUGAAAGAAUAAAAGAAUUUGACCUCGUGUAUGGUUUGAAAGUCAGAGGGCAGGGGUAAUCAGAAACGCAAUUGAAAAAGCUUCAUAUAAAGAAAUGUGCAUUAUUAGGAGGUUUAUUUUCCAUUCUUCAGAACUGUUCUAAAAAUCCCAGCAGGCUUUGAUCUUAUUAAAUUCACAAGCCGUCCAGUCUCUAUGUUGCUUGAAGUGUUCUUCGUUUUCGCAGAAAAUAAUUGACAAAAGUUAGUUGCAGGGAAAAUAUCGAGUCUACCUCCUCUGACUCAGGUUCUUUUUAUCUUGGUUGCCCAGACUUUUAUUUUGAUAUGUGUGUGCAUGUGUGUGUGUGGGGGGGAGAGGUACUAUGUAUAUGUUUGGUUGUGUGCUUAUAUAUGGUGCAUGGUGAUUCUGUGGGCAUAUGUAGGUGUGGGUGUGUAUGUGUAUAUUCGUGUGCGUUUGUUUGUGUGUGUACUGUGCGUGAAUGUAUGAGCGUGCAUGAUGGUCUGUAUACGAGUUUGUGAGACGAAUAUGGAUAUGUAUGUGUAUGUGUGUUGCUUUAAGUCGGGAGCGAAUAUACGUUUGUGCUGCUUUGUGUGUGUACGUGUGCAAUUUAAAAUUGCAUUUUUGCAUGAGUGCAUAUGUAAUUUAAAUAUGUUUUCCCUUUUUUGUCCAAGUACGUACCAGUGUGUGUAAGACUGAUAUGGAUGUGUGUGUGCGUAUAUGUGCUGGUAAACGAAUGGUGUACACGUCUCGGUUGUUUUGUGUGUGUAUGUGUGUGUGUGUGUGUGUGUGUGUGUGUGUGUGUGUGUGCGUGUGCGCGCGUGUGUGUGUGUGUGCAUGCAUAUAUAGUGAAUAAAAGUUCUUACUAUGGAUAGAAACGAAAAUUAAUCCAAAAUGAUUGAUUCUAUGUGGAGUUGUGUCGGUGACCGGCAUCUUAUAAGAUGAGAAAGUUCCUGUCAAAGCAAAUUGGCAUUUUUAUUUUCGAAAGUCAGCCAGGGGACAGAAAGGCGAGUGUAAAUAUGUGUCCGUAUGUGUGUGUGCGUGCGCGCGCGAACGGCGGAGCGAAGGUUAGUAUUGUCGUUUAUGUAAUGGCUUGCUGGAUGUGUGUGGGUGUGGCCUAAAUAUGUGUAUAUGUGUGAAUGUACGUUUGUGUGUGCAGAGUGUGUUGAGGUGUGUGUGUGUGUGAGAGAGUGUGUAUAAGUGUACCUCAGAAUAAUAUGCAUAUAUAUGUAUUAAUAUAUAUAUUGGAAGCGUCUAUGCGCUUGUGUUGUAUUAUCUGUGUGCGUUUACGAAGUUUAUCGAAAAGACAGAUGAGUGCGUUUAAGUGAGUGCAUGUGUGGAACAGUUGAUGGAUAGUAUAGAUUGUGACGUGUAUAUGUAUAUGAGUGUGUUAUUGACGUAUGUAUACGUGCGUGUGUAUGUAUGUAUAUGUGUAUACUCGUAUAUAUAUUGCUGUACACUUCGGUUUUAUUAAUAGCGAUGUUAAUAUAUACAUACAGGUAGCAAUAUAUAUAUAUAUAUAUAUAUAUAGAGAGAGAGAGAGAGAGAGAGAGAGAGAGAGAGAGAGAGAGACAUGUGUGUAUUUUUCCCUUGUUAGCAACACGGAAAAAAUAGAUAAAUAGUUAUCAGGGUAGCAAAAAAUCACUCAAGUAAAAAGUGUAACUCCGGGUUUACGUGAAAUAUUUUGCAUGAUAUAUAUAUUAAUAAAUGAAAGGAGUUAAACGCAGGUGUUAUUAAAAUUCUUUUACUUCCGAUACAUGUUUCGAAGAUAUCACUGGCAUUAUUCCAAAGGAACAAAAUGGUGUAAAACAAUGUAAUCUUCUUUUCAAGGAAAUGAAGAAAUGAAACUCGUGAAUAAGAUAUUUUAACAGAAUAUGAUAGAUACGUAUAGUGAUUAACUGAACGCUAUUAAGUUUGUUUUAAAAAAAACGUUACAAGAUAUAACGUCAAAGGUAGCCUAUAGAAAGAAGAGGGUUAAGGGAAAGAUAAAACCAAAUAAAUGAGAAGAAUAUAAUGAUAUGUAAAUUAAAUAAAACUCUAAAGUCUUGGAAAAAGAUAUAUCUAGUGAAUGUGAAAUGUAAGAAGAAAAUUAAUGUGUAAAUUAUAUAUAAUGAUAUAUAUCACUUAUAUGAACUAAAGGUGUUUUUCUGCCAAUGUUUACAUCGGUAUGCACGCUCUAUAACCGUGUUUACAAGGAGAUUUUUAGAAAAAAAAAAGUUCAGAAUUACAGAGAAGACAGAAUUCCUUGCCUUUAUCAUAAGGUAUGGAAAUUAAGAGAAUCAACCAAUCUAAAUUAAAUUGUUUAUCGUGGUCUUUUAGAUACCAAAUUCAUUUACUAAGCCUAGUACUGUUACGUUUAUUCCUAUCCCUAAGUGUAGAGUAAUGAUUAGAAAUUAUUUUAGAUAACUGAGAAGAUGAACUGCCUAUAUAAAAAAAUACUUCAUUACCAGAAGUAAUUUUACACUUGUAUAUAGAAUUUUUAAUUUUAGAGUUACUUGACAUAAACUUGAUUCUGUUGUAAUUGACUUGAUAUAAAUAACAUUGUUAUUAGUAUUUCUAGGUGGAUGGAUGGUAUUAGCUAAAUUGAUAUUAGUAUUAGCAAAUGUAUCCCUAUUUAACAGGCUAAUAUUAUGUGAGGAGAUAAUUUGUAAGAGAAUUUUGCGUUGGAAAAACCAAUCCUAACUGUGUGUGAGUUGAUAAUAGAGUAAUACCUAGAAUUCUUUGGAAAAUUCCUAAUGAUAACUUCACGAAACUGCAGAGGAAGAUUAUAUUUCAUUUGCCUCCCAUAAGGAAUAAUAAACCAAAUGGUUUUACUAUUAGUUACCUUAUUUUUAUUGUAACUAUCUUUGAAAGACAUAGAUUUACCUUUAGAAAGAAAAUAGGAGUUUAAAUAAGGGUUAUCUCUCUUCCUCUGUUUGGUGUUUGGUGUAUAAAUUAAAAUUGAUAUCGUUUAUAUCCUUACAGCUAGAUCUCAUAUCUCCAUUAGUAAAGGUAGAAUAAGAGUGAAUGGAAUUAAUGUAGGUAACUUUCUCUGUAUAACCUUCUUUAAGUAAGGCAGAGUUAUAGAAUUCGGCCUUAUCAUUCAAAAUGUUAACAUUAGCAGAUAACUUGGACAAUCUAAAUGAAAUAUUCUUAACUAAGUUCCUAGUAAUUGUCCUAGACUGAUUAUUGAAUUUGCCAAUAUACUUAAGAUUGAUCAAUGGUUUGUGGUAUGGGAAGUACGAAUUAUUGUGUAAGUUAAGUGUAAUAUCUAAAAAGUUGGCCUUCGUUACAUCAUCAUCAAAAACGAUGCUUAAGCCCAUUCUACGAAAAACUUAACUAAACAAUUCUUACUUUUUGUACUUUUGGGUCGGAAACAUUUUGAGGUUAAAGUAAACAAUCAUCAGGAUAUAGACCUCCAUUUAUGUUUGGGAACUGUUCUGCCAUUUCAAAAAGUAUGUACAUACAGACUAAAUCAGCUACUUGUGCUCGAUCAGAACUACCCGUUGAAACAUCGAAACCAUCUGGUGUGUCUUUACGGACCCACAACUUAUUGUCAAACUUUAUGAUAGAUUUUCUGGUGAAACCAAAACAAUACAUCUCAUUUAUUUGUUUUCUUCUUUCCUUUACCUCUCCUCUUUCUAUAAGCUACCUUUGACGUUAUAUCCUAUAGCGUUUUUUUUUAAACAAAUUUAAUAGCGCUCAGUUGAUCACUAUACGUAUCCAUCAUAUUCUGUUAAAAUGUUUUAUUAACGAGUUUCAUUUCUUCAUUUCCUUGAAGAGAGGAUUACAUUGUUUUACACCAUUUUAUUCCUUUGGAAUAAUAACAGUGAUAUCUUCGAAACAUGUGUCGGAAGUAAAAGAAUUUGAAUAUCACCUGCGUUUAACUAUAUAUAUAUAUAUAUAUAUAUAUAUAUAUAUAUAUAUAUAUAUAUAUAUAUAUAUAUAUAUAUAUAUAUAUAUAUAUAUAUAUAUAUAUAUAUAUAUAUAUACGUAUGUAUGUAUGUAUAUUUAUAUAUGUAUAUAAAAUUAACAUCGAUAUUAAUAGGUUAUUGCCAUGAAAGAUAAAUUUUUUGAAGUUUGAGUUGAAGCCAAUGGUGUGCCAUACACCAACCCGCUAAAUCUAUUAUGUUAUAGUGAAAAAAUGUCUUACUGAAGCGUAUAGGUUUUAGUUAACUCGUUAGUGGACCGGAAAAAAUGCUUAGCAGCAUAUCUUCCCGCUUUACGUUCUGAGUUCAAAUUCCGCCGAGGUCAACCUUGUCUCUCGCCCUUUCCAGAUCGCCCCUAGUUUUAAAAAAAUUGUUUUUGAUAUUUCUUUUUAAAACCAAAACAAUGCAUUUUAUAAAAAUAAUACAAGUCACCAAUCUUAACUGGUAUUUCAACAUCUCAAGUUGGAGCCUCAUUAUUAUGAAACCUUUGGAAAAGGUUCUUCUGUGUCCUGUUGUGUUUGGUUAUAUGAAGGGUUAUUAUGCGUUUCUAUAAUAACCAAUCAACCGUGUACAGUUCUGAUCUGUUAUUAAUAUGUGGUGUGUAUUUCUUAAGAUAACUUCUUUUACUCUCAACAACUACAUGUUGUGGAAAUCCGCUGCCCUCUGGACGCCAUUGUAGUUCGAAAAAUACAAGAGAACAAAGACAUCUAUGAACCAUUGAUAAGGAGUUUGCAAAUCCAGUACCCAAGAUACACUAUCAGCUAUCUACCUAUUAUCAUCGGAGCAACAGGAUACAUACUAACCCGUCUGGAGCAAAGUAUGGCUGAAUUUAGGAUCUUGAUGAGAGAACGCAAGUCCUUAAUUCAUACACUACAAAUGGGCACGGUAUCUGAGACUAUAAAAACCUGCAAGACCUUCUAAAGAUUCAAAGGAUGAUGGUUAAAACAACCUCGAUACCAAGUAGGUGGCCAGUCAAAAUUUGCUCCAAAUUAAAAAGAGACAAAGAUCAAACACACACACACACGCGCACACACGCACACACACGCAUAAGCAUAUAUAUAUAUAUAUAUAUAUAUAAAGCAAAUUUAACUGUAACAAGAGAACAUUUACAGAUGGAAUGAUUAGUGGAAAAAGUCAAGUAAAACUUAUAAAAUUUGUCUUGAGUGGAGACUUUAACUUCCGUUCGACGGUUUAAUUAACCAGUCUGGUUGAAUAGGUCUUCAGGCGGAACUUAGUCAAAACGAAUCAUGUGAGUGUGUACGCACGCCAAAACACACACACACAUACACACACACGCACACACACACACAUACACACACACAUACACACAUAUACACACACACACACUUAUACUCACAGAUAAAAGCAAAUAGAUUUAAGUCAGUAAUUUGUUUGUUAGACCAUGAAUAUAUAUCCGCUUAUAUGUUUGUGGAAACUUGUCUCGAUACAGUCACUAUCAAUAAUUUGAAGCAAAACCAUACAUUAAUAUAUAAUAUUCCCUCUUAAUUUCUUCCUAAUAUCUUCCUUCCAAUAUGGUGGAUAUAAAGUUAAGACGAUGUAAAAGGCAGUCGCUCUAGAGUCGAGAACAUUUAAAUAACUCAGAAUGAACAAUCGAAACAAUACUGGUUAACUGAUUGACUGUAACAAAUCUAAUAAUGUUUCGACACAGUAUAGAGUAACUUACGAAAAGUGUAAUGUGGUGUGAGACAGUUAGGAAAAGGAAGCCGCGGAUCAUGCGAAGUGGUUCUCAAAAGAGAGGCAGAUAAUGUGUCAUGGAGACUUUAAAAAAUGCACAAAACUAGGGGAUGUCUUUUUAUUAAUUAAUUUCUGGAAUUAUUCUUCCCUCUCUCUUUCUCUCCAUCUCUUUCUUUCUCUUUCUCUCUCUCUCUCUCUCUCUCUCUCUCUCUCUCUGUAUAUGUAUACAAAUAUAUACGUGUAUGUCUAUAUAUAUAUAUAUAUAUAUAUAUAUAUAUAUAUAUAUAUGCAUAUGUGUAUGUAUGUGUGUGUGUGUAUGUAUGCGUGUUUAUGUGUGUGUUUAAAACAGUAAAGGGUAUUCAGAAAUCCGAAUGGUUACCCUUAGUCAGCACUCCUACGAACACUGGUUAAUAGAGUGCAGAGAAACGGGGAGUUUUCCUUAAAGGAAACCAUUUCACACAAACCGUGCCAUACAGUCUUAAAAAUACACACACGCACACAGACAGACAGACAGAUAGAUAAAUAUUAAUUUCUGACAUUAUUCUUCCCCCUCUCUCUUUCUCUCUCUCUCUGUAUAUUUAUAAAGAUAUAUAUAUAUAUAUGUGUGUGUGUGUGUGUGUGUGUGUGUGUGUGUGUGUGUGUGUGUGUGUGUGUGUGUGUGUUUGCGUGUGUGUGUGUCUGUGUCUGUAUGUGUUUAAAACAAAUUAAGUAUAAUUUUCAUAUUUUCAUAUAUAUAAAUGUUUUUAAUAUUUCUUUUAAAGCCAAACAAUGCAAGUUAGAAAAAUAAUACAGGCUGAUAGUUGUAACUGGUAUUUCAGCUCAGAACUCUUUUAUAAGGAAACUUUUAGAGAAAAAUUGUUAUUAACUGACGUCUCUGUCCUGUAGUGUUUGUAUAUGAAUGGUUGUUAGGCGUUACAAUAGUAACCAGUCAGCCGCUUGGUGUGCAAUUCUCAAUUAAAAUAGUUUCUUCAACGACUGUAUGCUAAUACUUCAUCCGUCAAAAACAUCUAGAGACAUACCACAUCGAAGACAUUCACGUUUCCAUUGAAGCUACAGAAGAAGAAAACAUUGAGAAUCCGUUAAUACUUGUGUGGAUUUACUUCCGAAUCAACUUUGGAUAGUGCUUGGACGACUUGGGUCAAACAAACAACAACGAUAGUAGGUGAUCCACAGACAUUGUAGUCAUCCAAAUACCAAACAUUGAGAGACAGGUUUAUAAUUUUAACUACCUUGUUAAUACCUAAAUCAAAGACUGCCGUGACUGGGUCAUUAACUAAGGCUGGUAGUAAAUAAAUCUGUAGUAACAUAGUUGUUGACUGUAAGUUUGAUAAUUGUGGUAGAGUCACUACUAUUGUUUCAGUAUGAGGCAGGCAAAUUUUGCACCUGCUCAGUUCAUUGCUAUGGUUGAAUGCAUUGAUUGUAGACAGCAAUUCAACUUUCACUCAUCUAACUUCCUUUUGGAUUCUGGGUAUCAAAAUUCUCAUCAACAUUGGUGAAAACCAAAUGAGUUGGGCAACUGCAGCUGUAACACGACCAUUUUAUCAAUUCGGGUGACGUAGAUAGCGUAUUCUAUCUUUUUUACAAUUAAUCCUGGCGAUUAAUUGCAUGCGCUACUCUGGUACUACUGGUUGCUGCUCAAAUUAGCAUCCUGGUCAGCUUGGCUGGUUGAUGUUUAAUGUUGGUGUGAGAUUUUUAUAUGUGGCUCAACCUGGGGUUGAGAUGUUAUCAAAUACAUAAAUUUUGCCAAGGGUACGUAAAAGAACGUAUGCAUAAUUGAUAUUACAAAGUUUUUCAUCGAUAUUAAUUCAGAUGAACUGUAGUUGCCGUAAUAAUUAUGUGGAGAUACUGACAGUAGAGGUUCAAAGCUGUCUUUCUAAGGAUUCCGUUUCCGAACUACGUUGUUCCCGUAUUUACCUCUUUUUGGUAAGCUGAUUGUAAUAUUCUCCUGUCACGAAAUUAAUUAUAUCUCAGGACACGGUCAAUAGUAUUUCUGUUGUGGAAAUUUAUAUUCAUAGACAUUGAAAGAAAGAAAAGGAUGAAAUAAGUAAGAAAGGAAGAACGAAAAGAAGGUUAGAAGAAAGAAAGGAAGAACGAAAAGAAAGAAAGAAAGAAAGAAAGAAAGAAAGAAGGAAAGAAAGAAUAAAUAAAUGAAUGAAUGAAAAGAGAACUAUGUUACUGAACGGAAAGAAAAGAGGAACUGUAUUGUUGAAAGUGACAGUUAUUUGUGUUUAACUGUUACUCAGCAAAAAUACAACGCUCACAUCCAUACACACACACGUACAUACAAGACUCUCUCUCUCAUACACACAACACUCUCGCCUACAACCCCCCACCACCACACACACACAGACAAUAUUCACGCGCAUACAUGCGUGUAUGUGUGUAUGUGUGUUAUGAGAGUAUGUGCAUCUAUGAAUAAAUACUAACAUGAUGAACUUAUUUCGUAUUUAAAUUUCUAAUCUUUGGUGUUUUAUUAUGGAAUUUCACGCCAAAAAGCUUUUAAUGGGAAAAUCUGGAAGGCAUGAAUGGUUGGUUACCUAAAUUAGACUUCAGCUUUGGUCAAGUCAAUAUAGCUACCUGUAGAUUAGCUGUUUCUGUCAAAAUCAAGUUUGCUGCCAGUUCUUAGAUAAAACUAUUUCUUACACCCUUCGAAAUAGUAACGGAAAUCAAAAGGUUAUCCUAUUUAACUAGAUUUAUUACAGAAACAAUGACAGAAUGUGCCAUCUUCUGUUCACAAAUAUUGAUUUAUUUCCGUAUUUUGUUUUAAAAAUAUAUUUUAUUAUAGUUUAGUCAGAACAAAGUUCUGUGUCGAUGAGCAAUAUAGGCCACUAGAGGCCGGUGGGAUUGAUAUAGUCAAUCGUCAGUUUGAAUAUCUCUUAAAAGACGUUUUUAGAAAACAAAAUGUAGAUAAGAAGGAAACACGGGAAUGUUGACAUUCUAUGAAAGAAAUAUUGGGUAUAGUCGCCGGUGUGGAGCUGGAAGUAAAGGCAAAGUAUAGGUGAAGAGAGAAGAGAAGACUGACAUGUCGGGGUAGAUUUUGGUAGACGUAUCAUGUAGUUAGCUAGCUCUGAAAAAUAGACGUUGUGGUAGUGACAAAAUAGAGAGAGUGAAAAAACAACGCAUCUGUGGGACACAAGUUUAAGUUUGUUGAUGAGUGAAUCGCUACCAAUUAGUUGGAUGACUUUAUUUUCGAUUCAUUCUAGGAUAUCUGCCUGUGCAGCAGCAUCACCGUCACAGAUUGAGGAGCAAUAUUUCAUGACAGGUCACUAUUGGGCUUUGUAGUUAGUCGAUGACUGUUCAGGUUUGAAGAUUUUAUGACACUGAAGAAGCAAUCUAAUCUUUUGGAAACCUGUCAUAAUUUGUUCCCGAUUUAGGACUUGCAGACGAGAUAUUCAGUGACGGUCUAGAAUAGGUGACCAUCUGAGGGUUUUAAUUGCGAGUUGUCCAAGUCUAAAGAAGGUGAAACACAAUAUUGUUUCAUUGAUGGUUGUGUAUUUGUAUAAUUGACAGUCCCAUGUUCUGUUGACAUUAAUCUUCUGCCAUCAAUACAUUAUUCUUUACUCAUGAAUUCUAAAUGUGUAUUUUUGUAUUGUUUGGGAUGCUAGAAAUUUCAUUCAAUACUUAAAAGAAUGUACUGAAAUUUGAUCUCAUAAAUCUCGUGGGUAUUUUGUAAAAAGUGACGUGCAAAGACCUCGGUAUUCUAGUCAAACGGAAAGAUACUUUGUAUAGAAUUAAGCUGUUUUAAAACUGCAAAACUAUACAGUAUAUCUAGAAUGAAAAGAUACACUGUGAGAGAGGUGGUAAUUUAAUUAUAUAAACAGCAGUACCAAUUCUUCGAAAUUAAUUAGUAGCUACUCAGGAAGUAAAAGAAAAUUGUAUGUAUGUAUGCAUGUAUGUAUGUAUGCAUGUAUGUAUGCAAAAACUUUAGGUUUGUUCAAAGAUAUUUGUAAUAUAUUUUAACUACUGAAGGCAAUUUCACAGCAGUUUAAUGUGGAGAAAACACAUUCUCAUUUAUGGUAGCAGGUGUAUAUACACCAUUAUCAGCUCAGUGGCGCUUUCUGUUAGACACCUAGGUGCAUUUCUGGAGCGUUAAUGGGAUCUCUAAGAGAAGUAACCUUGAUUUGAAAUAAAGCUUUAUAAUGAAUCAGUCAAUACUAGUGACUGUUGUACGCUGGUAGAACCAUCACUGUUUCGCAUUAGAACUUAUCUCCUUGUUCAAACCGGGCGGUCUGAAUAUUUUACUCUGUGGCAAACAGCAGUGAAAUUGCCUUUAAAAGUUGAAAUAUAUUACAAAUAUAUUUGAACUUGCCUAAAGCUUGUUUAUUUUCCAUCACUGCUUCGUACUACUACGUAUGCACGUAUGCAUGUAUGUAUGUAUGUAUGUAUGUAUGUAUGUAUGUAUGUAUGUAUGUAUGUAUGUAUGUAUGUAUGUAUGUAUGUAUGUAUGUAUGUAUGUAUGUAUGUAUGUGUGUAUGUAUAUAUGUAUGUAUGUGUUCUCAUACAUAUAUAUAUAUAUAUAUAUAUAUAUAUAUAUUAGGGAAUAAAUCCAAAUUUACAGGGAAAAAAUCAGUGGUUUUGUCUCUAAUUAAUAUUAUAUAUAUAUAUAUAUAUAUAUAUAUAUAUAUAUAUAAGCAACAGGAUAUCAAGAAGUGAUGCAGUUCGACCGUUUCAAGCAGCUCCAUGUAAUUGAAUACACAUUUUACCUAUUUUCGUUAUGAUAUCAUUUUCGAUAAUCUUAAAUUUUAUCUUUAUACAACAUAACAAUAUUGUUUAUAAAAAAUCACCAAUAGUACCCCCAUGAUAAAAUGUCCUCUGUAUUAACAUCAGAGGUGCUGCCCCUUUAACUGGUAAUUAACAUCAUGAUUUAGGGUCUUCUUCUACCCAGCCUGCUUUAUAGACAGUUACUUUAUACCCUAUUUACUACUCCUAAUAUCUUGACAAUAUUUAUGACCAUAUCUAGCCAUGAGCUGUCAACUCACUCUUGCCCUUCAUUCCUAAUAGACACAGUCCUCUAGUCUUAGAUUUAGUAGUUGAUAAAAAGACAAAUAAAUUAGAAAUGAACCACAAUCCUUUACAAGCUAUGACUCCAAUAAGCUUAAUGUUUUUCUUGGAAGUAUAGUAUAUGCUUAGCUGCAAUGGUGACAACAUGGAUUUCUUCUAUCUUUUUGCUCGGUUAAAGUAUUUGAGUAAAAUAUAUAUUAAUGUGUCCGACUGAUUAAAAUUCUAUUUAUUUGUGUAGCUGAUGAUAGCCCUGCAUUUGAAUUGAUGUAAUGAUUACAUUGUUCAAUUAAAUGGAGCCGCUUGAAACGGUCGUACUGCAUCACUUCUUGAUAUCCUGUUGCUUAUUUUGAUUUUAUUCACCUUCCUUAGAGCUGUAAGGAUAAUACCGGACUGACUUGGUGCUUCAACUUAUGUAUCUAAUUCAAAUGAAUCUCAAUUAUAUAUACAUAUACAUACAUAUAUACAUACAUACAUACAUUUUUCUUUUACUUCUUGAGUAGCUACUAAUUAAUUAAAUAGAGGAAUUUAUCUGUAAAUAUAGUAUGUGACAAUUAUUCGGUCACACAUUAUAUUUACAGAUGUAUAUGUGUGUGUGUGUGUGUGUGUGUGUGUGUGUGUGUGUGUGUGUAGGGAGAAUUCACAAAAAAAAACAAAAGAUGAAGACAGGUGGUGUAGACAACAAACAUGUGUAUUAGUUUAACGCUCGGGAAGUGAAAAAGUCUUUAAAGUUUCGAGCCUACGCUCUUCUACAUAAAAGGAACACAGAGAGAAACAAGGAGAUAAAAUAAAGAAUGUGUAGUGGCUAGCGGUCUAUCAUGGAGAAUACCAGACAGAGGGUUACACAGGAGAGCUAGGAAGAAGGGGAGACCCCAAAACGAAGGUGCGCGUGCAUGUGUAUAAGAGAGUAUUUAUGUGCGUGUGGAAGAGAACUGGUGACCUUGACGUGUGCGUGUGUGCAUGUGCAUGGUGGUGUGAUAUGAUGUGGUGUUGUGUGGUGUGAUGGUGUAUGUUGUAGCGGUGUGUGGUGUAAUGGUGUUGGGAGGUGGGGGAGGUCAGAGUGGGGAAAGCAAGGGUGGGAUGUGGGUUAGGCUAUAUAUAUGUAUAUAUAUAUAUAUAUAUAUAUAUAUUUAUAUAUAUAUAUUAUUAUAUAUAUAUAUACAUGUAUAUAUGUGUAUACAUCUCCACAUCUAUAUGUAUAUAUAUAUAUAUAUCUAUAUACAUGUAUACAUAUAUAUAUAUGUACAUAUAUAUUUGUGUAUAUAUAUAUAUAUAUAUAUAUACAUAUAUAUGUAUAUAUAUGUAUAUAUACAUGCAUGUUUAUAUGUAUCUAUAAAUAUAUAAGUAUAUAUACAUAUGUAUAUAUAUAUGUGUGUGUGUAUAUAUAUAUAUAUAUAUAUAUAUAUAUAUAUAUAUUUAUGUAUACAUGUAUACUUAUAUGUACAUGUAUAUAUAUAUAUACAUACAUAUUUAUAUAUACAUGUAUACAUGUACAAGUAUAUAUAUAUUUAUAUAUACAUGUAUAUAUAUGUUUAUAUAUGUAUAUAUAUAUAUAUGUAUGUAUAUGUAUAUAUUUAUAUAAAUGUAUAUAUAUAUCUAUAUAUGUUUGUAUAUAUAUGUAUGCAUGUAUAUGUAUAUAUAUGUGUGUGUGUGUGUUUGUAUGUGUGUGUGUUUGUAUGUGUGUGUGUUUGUUCUCCCACCAUCGCUUCACAACCAAUGUUGCUGUAUUUACAUCCCGUAACAUAGCGAUUUGCCAAAACACGUCGAUAGAAUAAGUACAAGGCUUGCAAAGAAUAAAUCCUGGAGUCUUCGAUUAAAGGUGGUACUCCGGCAUGGCCGCAGUCACAUGACCGAAACAAUUAAAACUAUAAAAACUAUUCCAUUUUAAUCCCGAGUAAGGCCGGGAUUCUCUGCUAUUAAUUUGUCAAGAAAGUUCUUGCGGUUUUUAACCUUUAAAUUCAGAGGCACAUGUCUCGGCUCAAACAAAACUUUAUUAAUCGAAACAAACACCAUCAACACACUUUUGCCAACAUGAAACAAGUUUAUUUAUGCCAGUAGCAUAAAAGUCCUGCGUUAAGGUGGCGAUGAAGUCGUUGAAGGCGUGUUUGACAUCGUCUUGGUUUUUGAAGUAUUUCUCACGCAGAAAGUUAUCGAGAUGCUUGAAAACGUGGUAGUCGGUAGGCGAGAGGUCUGGUGAGUAUAGCGAAUGAGGCAGAGUUUGAUUUGACAAAGUUAAUUGCAUGUAUGGCAGUGUUGAGUGCUUCUUCCAUGUGUCCUUCAAUAUUCUUAGCAAUUAAAUGCUGUCUGUGGAUAAUGCAAUGUAUAUCAAAAAUAUGAGGAGCAGCUGAUUUCAUUCUAAAAACAAAGCCUUUCACUUUUCCAGUCAUGGCUGUAGCUCCAUCUGAUGCAAUGUUGAUCAAAUUAGUCAAUGGAAUAUUUUUAUCAUUAAAAUAUUGCAUUGCUUCAUUGAAUAUAUCUUCUCCAUUAGUAGUUUCAGACAAACUUUUAAUGAAUAACAUUUCUUCCCUUAUAUCAUCUUCAUGGAUGAAUUUGACACAGACCAAAAGGAUAGCUUGGUUAUUAAUUGUACUAUCAUCAGCCUGGAUAGACAAAUUUGUGUUUUGGAGAAUUUCCACAAUCUUCUCCUCAACAAAAUUAGACAUGUCAUCCUGUCUUCUUGUAAUUGUGUUAUUUGAAAGUGGAAUUGUACUCAGAGUAGAUGCAGCAACUUUUCCCAGAACCUCAUUUUGCACAAGCCAUCAAAGCAGGCUUGAUGUGUUUCUCACCAUAAAUCUGAAGUGCUGCAACUUUGGCAAUAAUUUCAGAAACCAAAUAAUUUGGUUUGAGUGUUUGAUUUUCAUUAUUUAUCUUUUUUACAAUUCUGAAAAGUGAGUGAAAUGAGUUGAAGAAACACAAAAAGAUAUUGAAUAUUUCGUAAGAGUGUGCAUUAGUACCGAUGCGUCCAUCAAUGUAACGACCAUAUAUCUCCGGGUGGGGGAUCAGGGGAACUAUGAAAAGACUGACAUAGCAAUGGCCUGUUCGAAUGCUCAUAGCCACCCCAGAGAUAUGCUACAGUAAGUAGUGUCCAGAGAAGUUGUUAAGAGUAAAGAAAAGUUCGGCUGAAUAAAGGAGGAUGGCGGUACUAGGCUGGCGGUUGGCAGCGCUAGGCUAAAGGAUAAUUCGAUGGUUCUGAAAAUAUUGGAUAAAAAGUGAGCUGUCUUUGUGUGAGAAGACGAUGUUUUAGGAUUUGACUAAGAGUUGAAAGAAAGCAGGAGAGUAAAAACUGGUUCAGUUGGUUCAACGUUCGAAAGCAAGUGUUGUCAAUUUGGUCGAGAACGCUGAACUGGCCUGAGGUAGAUGCAGAUCUAAAUCAGAUAGCUGUGUGUGUGUCUGUGUGUGUGCGCGCGCGUGUCUGUCUGUGUGUGUGUUUGUGUGUAUAGUUAAGUAGAUACAUAAAACCAUGCGAAUAACAAACACAAAAAUCAAGAUGUUUAUUCGUGACUACAACCCUAAAACAAUUUAUUAAAGUUUGAUAUAUACCAUCAAGUAAUUCUCACUUGUGAGUUAUGACAAUAUGGUUCUUUGGUUCCCCUCAUAUUAUAAAUCCUUCUUGAUUCUCAAAAUAUUCCCUAUCUUUAUCAACAGAUGAUAGAUGCCUCAAUUUUUGGUGCUGUUCCAGCUUAACUUUCUUUAUGGAAUGAUUUAUCAUGAUGGCAUCACAUUCAAGACACAUAGGUUUUGAGUCUAUAGAUACAAAACCAAACAUGAUAAAAUCUUCUUUGUAGUUCCUCAGUUUUCCAUUUUUUAGCAGUUGGUUCAGAUAUUAUUACAACUGGUCUUUAAAAAAAUAAAAAUAAUAAAUACUUUAUUUCUAUUAAUUAAAAGUAUCAAAUUUAUUAUUAAACAAGAUUGUGUAGUGAUCUAUUAAAAUAUCAAAUUUAUUAUGAAACUGUUGUGAUUGUAAAAUUUAAAUUAUGUAAUUCUUGAUUGUAUAUUAUUGAUUCUUAUGGAAUAAUUAUUGAAUUUUGUUUUAUUAUUAUUGUUCUAUCUUCAUAUAAACUAUUAAUAACUAACAGUGUCUUUAUUAUCGAACAAUAUUGUGUAGAUCUAAAAUGGCUUCAAUUUUUUAUGGCUACGAAUUCUCUGGGGAUCACCGGUGGGCCCCAGGGACUACGUUGGAAAUAACUGUACUAAGCGACUCCUGAAAUUACAGACCUUGCAUCAGAAUUUCAAAAUCAUUAUUAUUUCUUUUUUCGCAUGCCAGUUUAUACAUACAUAAAUACAUACAUACAUACACACACACAUACAUAUAUAUAUGUAUAUAUAUAUAUAUAUAUAUAUAUAUAUAUAUAUAUAUAUAUAUAUAUAUAUAUAUAUAUACGUAAAUGUGUUUGUGUGUAUGAGCAUAUAUGUAUACAUUGUUGUACUUUCCCGACAACAUUAAGAGCAUUUUAGCUCUUAUUUCUAACAGUGUCUUGAUACUCUUAGUCAUGGACGUAUCUUUCUUUUAUGAUAUCACAUUGCACCUAGCUGUUUAUAUUAAUCUAUACACACACACAUAUAUAUUUUAUAUGCAUAUAUGUAUUAUGUAUGUAUUAUGCAUGUAUGUAUGUAUGUAUAUAUAUAUAUGUAUAUAUAUAUAUAUAUAUAUAUAUAUAUAUAUAUAUAUAUAUAUAUAUGAAGUAGCUAGAUAUUCGUGCAGAUGUAUAAUUCAAAAUAUUCCCCUUUUUUUCAAAAGUAGGAAGACAGUUAUCAUGUACGAAAAGCAAAAGAAAAAUAUUUCAUAAGGAUUCUGAAUCCGAAAUUAUACUUGGAAUAGUGAAUACUGCUACUGAAAAAAUUAGUUCUAAGCAGAUUAGCAUAUAACACGUGUAUUCGAAAAGUUAAAGAUCUUUUAACUUAAAAACUUCCUUCUGUGUUAAUUUGCAUUUUGUAAUAUUUUUUUAUAUAAUUCAUAGUUAUUAAUUCAUGAAAUUUAAAAAAGAAUAUGUGUGCGUGUUCUUAUGUUUGUGUUUUUGUACAUGUGUGUGUAUGUAUGUUUGUGUGUGUGUGCGCGCGCCCGCGCGCGCGCGCGUGUGUGUGUGUGUGUGUCUACAUGUACAAGUGAAGAUAUACACAUAUAUCAAGAUGUUCCUUAUAUCGAACUGCUCUUUUAACAGAUUUGGUUUUAUCCUGGUCAAUCAAUUUACACGUCUUACUAUUAAGGUCUUUACAUUUUGUGGCCUACAUUAUUUCUUCUAUGUGAAAAGGCUUUGAAGAUUUGUCGAUUGUCUUUGCCCAUUAAUAAUUCUUGACUCUAAGACGGCAAGCUAACAGAAUCGUUAUCGCACUGAAUAAAAUGCUUAGCUGCAUUUCUUCAGACUUUACGUUCUAAGUUCAAAUGCAGAGUCGACUUUGCCUUUCAUUCUUCGGGAUUGAUAAAAUAAUUACCAGUUGAGCACUGGUAUCAAUGUAAUCGACUUCCUCCAUGCCCGAGGUUGCUGGCGUUCUGCCAAAAUAUUUGCAGUCAAUAAUUUGUGACCCCUUAUUUUUCUUAGAUUUGAUGAUUUUCAUAGAACUGAAAUGCAUUAACCGAAUAUAAGAUGUAGUCUCUAGGAUUGUGGGUGGCAAUAAAUUGAAAACUUCUGUUUGUGUCUCCUCCCACCAUUUUGAAAUGACUUACGGAGUAGCUCUGUCGAGAACGUUCACUAGGGUUUUAGAAGUAAAGGAGGUGAAUUCUGAAAAGUGAGUGAAAUGAGUUGAAGAAUCACAAAAAGAUAUUGAAUAUUUCGUAAGAGUGUGCAUUAGUACCGAUGCGUCCGUCAAUGCAACGACCAUAUAUCUCCGGGUGGGGGAUCAGGGGAACUAUGAAAAGUCUGACAUAGCAAUGGCCUGUUCGAAUGCUCAUAUCCACCCCAGAGAUAUGCUACAGUAAGUAGUGUCCAGAGAAGUAGUUAAGAGUGAAAAAAAGUUCGGCUGAAUAAAUGAGGAUGGUGGUACUAGGCUGGCGGUUGGCAGCGCUAGGCUAAAGGAUAAUUCGAUGGUUCUGAAAAUAUUGGAUAAAAAGUGAGCUGUCAUUGUGUGAGAAGACGAUGUUUUAGGAUUUGACUAAGAGUUGAAAGAAAGCAGGAGAGUAAAAACUGGUUCAGUUGGUUCAACUUUCGAAAGCAAGUGUUGUCAUUUUGGUCGAGAGUGCUGAACUGGCCUGAGGCAGAUGCAGAUCUGAAAUCAGAUACCUGUGUGUGUGUUUGUGUUUAUACUUAAGUAGAUACACAAAACCAUGCGAAUAAUAAACAGAAAAAUCAAGAUGUUUAUUCGUGACUACAACCCCAAAACAAUUGAUUAAAGUUUGAUAUAUACCAUGAAGUAAUACUCACUUGCGAGUUAUGACAAUAUGGUUCUUUGAUUCCCCCUCAUGUUAUAAAUCCUUCAAUUCUCAACAAAGCUUUCCUUAUACAGGCAGCACACAUAAAUCCUUAAGGAAACUAAAAAAAAUCAACUGCAUAAAAAUAAUUAAAAGAGAAACAUGGAACGAAAUUUAUUAUAAAGCUAAAAAUAUUUUAAAAUAGGAUAAAAUGAAUACACCUCGCCUGGAAGAAAGCUAUAUCCUCCAUAGCUAGAAGGAGCUAUGCCACCAACCCAGCAUGGCAAGCAUGGCCGGAAGAAAAAUAGUAGUUGCAGCGAAAGCUGCGGAAGAGCAGAUAGAUCUAGCCCAUAGCAGACAUGAUCACUGCAGGAUAGAAACAUAAAACGCAUGUCAAUUGCGGUGAGUAAGAGAGGGAAAAAAAGAAGCGAAUGAAGGAAAGAGAUGUAUCUACAAUAAUAUCAGUAACACAUCAAAUUUAUAGUGUGAGGAGAGUCAUCGUAGUAUUAAGCUAAUACUAUGGUAAACAUAACUCUGGUACUAUUCAUCGACAUUUCCACGAUAUACCUUAAACCAGUGCUCCCCAAACGCCGGAUUGCCAACCUGUACGGGGUCAUUAAUCAUUUGGUACCAAACCGCAGAGAAAGAAUAAAUUUUAAAGUGUUAUUUUUACUUUGUUGACCAUCACAAUCUGCAGGGUAUUUCUGCAUUAUGUAUGUAUGUAUGUUUGUAUGUAUGUAUGUAUGUAUGUAUGUAUGUAUGUAUGUAUGUAUGUAUGUAUGUAUGUAUGUAGACAGUUGAAUUCAUGUAUUAUGACUUAAAUUUAUAUAUAUAUAUAUAUAUAUAUAUAUAUAUAUAUAUAUAUAUAUAUAUAUGUAUCGAAAUUUAAGUCACAAUAUUUGGAUUCAAGUGAUAUGUUUACAACUACAAUAUCAUUAAUAUUAUUAAGGAAACGACCUUGUUUCCACUCUGACCUCAAGCCGCAUACAUUUAAACAUCCUACAUUAAGCGUAUCCAUAAUGGUUGUACUUACAGUUGGCGAUGGGGCAGCACGACCAUCUCAUUUCUUUGGUCUUUCGUCCGGGGCUUGCGAGGUAUCGUUGACUAGGCCCUCAAACAUUUGUUGGGGGAACAUCUUUCCUCAGAUGGCCUUUGUCGUCUUUAAAUCGGUUUAUUAAAAUAUUAUAUAGUUCGGUCUGUCUAUUUUAUAGAUCGCAAUAUUUUAGGUUACGUUCUCCCUUCAAAGUGUUUCAUUAUGCUUGCCGCAUUGGGCACUUCUUUUAAUUUCUGCAGAAGUGACUUGUUAGUCGUCACUACUGCAGCAUAAUUCAUGCUUGGUUGGGAGGGGAACAUUUUGGGCUGGGAUUUUUUAGUGGUUGUGUGCUCUGUUUGUUGUCUUUUUGUUUUGUUGAAGGGCUAGUGGGGUUGGAUGGGGAAGGGCUUUCUUUUUUUUUCUGGCGAUUAUUUCCGGUCUUUCUCCUUGGGCUUCCUCCAUCUCCUCUGUUUCCUUUUCUGGCGUUUCUUCUUGAAUCUCACAGGGUGCUUCUUCUGUUUUUCUCUCCUUUUGUUUUUCAACAGGUGGGGGAAUCGCUGCUUUUUCGUGUGGAGAUUGGCACUCGGCCCUAAUGUGGCCUUUUUAUAUGUAUAUAUUAUGCACUUUAUUGUUUUGCUAUGCGCGUGGAAAAAUUGUCUUGCAUGAAACCGGUUCAUGGUGUUAAAAAGAUUGGAAACCGCGGCCUUAGACUAUACUUAAAUGCGUUAAAUAAUACUGUGUGUACGUAAGGUGCAGGCGUGGCUGGUUAGUUCAGAAGUUGGUUUCGAGUUCAGUUCCACACUGCAACACUUAGGGCACGUGUCUUCUGCUACAGCCCCAGACCGAUCAAAGCUUUGUGAGAGUUAGACAAAAACGAUGAGAAGUCCACCGUAUGUAUUUAUUUGUAUGUGUACGUAUGCCUAAACUGCAUUUUCUCCAUAUAUCAAUAUUUUCUUCUAAUAUCUCUACUCUAAUGGUCAUUAUUGCUAAACUUCAAUUUACAACUCAAUUGCUCGCUCGAAAUAAAAAUCCAAUUUCUUCAAAAUAUCGCUAUAUUUUAUCUAGACUAUUAUGAAAAUGCUUAAUUAAAAAUUCAUUAUGGUAUCCUUAUCUAAUCAUUCGCACUAUCCGAUAGCUUAUAUUAUCUACAAACAAUGCAAAACAACUAUUCCAUUGUGUCUUAUUAUCUGUCUAGAAGAAAAGCUGUUAUCCUAAUUAUCUAGAGCGCACUUAUAUGUAUAAGACACUGCCGCCACUUCAAAAUUAAAAUCAUAAGUCUACUAAGUCUUUUUAGGAAUGGUGAAUCUCGAAGCAAUAAACUGUAAAUAAUAGUUUCAAAUUGUUGCACUAUCUUUUCCUUUUGGGAGGGCGUUGUCGGUUACACUGACCCCAAUACUCAUCUGAUAUUUAUUUCAUCGGUUCCAAAAGGCAAAGUCGACCUCAGUAGCAUUUGAACUCAGAAGAACCCGUAAGAAACACCUCUAAGAAUUUUGUCCGACUCUCUACUGAUUCUGCCAGUUCAUCACCUUAGCCAAACUAUAAGUAAUAGAGUGUAUAUGUUGGUCUCCAAAUCUUGGCACAAGGUCAGCAGUUUUGGGGAAGGGGCUAAGUCGAUUAAAUCGAUCCUAGUAUUCAACUGAUGCUUAUUUUAUCGACUCCGAAAGGAUGAAAGGCAAAGUCAACAACGACAGCAUUGGAACUCUGAACGUAAAGACGGACGACACCGGUGCGGUAACGUUUCUGCCAGCUCACCGCCUUCUUAGCGCGUAAAUAUUGUAUUUAAAAGCCCACCCGUUUGAAAAAAUCGCAGACUGAUUUUUUUAUUUUUCUAUCCAAACGGUUUUGACUCAACAUUUACACGUUAUUUAUAGCUUUCUUUGCUUCGAGAUACACCGUCACCCAAAAGAAUUAUUUCUUUUUCUCGAAGUUUUUUAAAAUUCUUAAGAUGUCAACAACAUAAAUUUAUCAUAAGCAUUUGUUAUUAUUAACUUAUUGUUAUUCCAGAAUAUUUUGAGUUCAAGUAGUGUUUGGCACCAUUCUCCGUUUUCUCUGGACAAAGGGCUUUUAAACACGAAAUACCAAACUAUAAGAUAACGUAUAAAUUGUUGUCAGUUCGUUUUCUUUACUUCUAUUAUUUCUGUAUUCUCUACUUAUUUCAAGUCUGGUACCUCUUUUCUCAGUCCUAUUUGCCAAACUGCUCAGUUACAUCGAUAGAAACAAACCAACACCGGUUGUUAAGCGGUAUGGGUACAAACGCAAAGACACAAAUACAUACAUACAAACAUAAAUAUAUAUACAUAUACAUUCGACGAGCUUCUCAUUAGUUUUCGUCUAUCGCUCACAAAUCUAUUGUCAGUCUGGGGAUAUAGUAGAAGACUCGUGCCGUAAGUGUCGCUUUGUGGGACUGAACUCGAAACCAACUUCUUAACCACACAGACACGCCUGUACAUUGCACGCACCCGGCGCGCGCACACAGACACAUGUGUAUAUGUAUGUGUAUGUAUGUAUGUAUGUAUGUAUGUAUGUAUGUAUGUAAGUAUGUAUGCAUACACAUGCAUAUUUUUACAUCAUAUAACAUAUAUAAACACAUACAUCAUAAAUAUCAAUUCCAUUUGGAUUUUAAGUUUGGAGUUUGUUUGUUUUUUAUAAAGCCCGUCCACAGGAAUCGGCUUUCAGUUACUAUCAUCAUACAGCAACAAUGGAUCGCUUUAGUGAUGUUAUAUCUGAAAAUCUGUAAAUAUCCAUAUAAAGAUUAAUAGAGAGUGGUGUGUGUUUCCCGUUUUAUUUCAUAAUACUACAAUUGUUUCAUCGACAUUUUACCAGAAGAUUGUUGCUGUAGCAAUUCAAAUUAUGCAUAAACCUGAUGAGUCGGCAUUUUACAGGUAGUAUGUAUUAUUCCGUUUAAUAUAUAAUAAUAUUCCAGCAAUAAUCUUUUGGUAAAUUGUCGAUGAAACAGUUGCAGAAUUAUGCAACAAAUCGAGUUGCUCACACAUUUCUGGUUAAUAUUUAGAUGCAUUCCUCUGAGGUUCACUUUGCCUUUCAUCCUUUCGGGGUUAUAAAAUAGGUAUCAGUUGAGCACUGGGGUUUAUUUAAUCGACUUACCCCUACAUCCGCGAACUUGCUGGCCUUGCGCCAAAAUUUGAAACUAAUAUUCAGAUAUAUUAAUGCGGCGAGCUGAAGGAACUGUUAGCACGCCGGUCAAAAUGCUUAGCAGCAUUUUGUUCGUCUUUAUGCUCUGAGUUCAAAUGCCGCCGGGGUUUACAUUACCUUUCAUCCUUUCGGGAUCGAUAAAAUAAAUACAAAUCGAGCAAUAGGGUUGAAUAAUCGACUUACCUUCUUCCCAAAAUUUCUGGCCUUGAGCCAAAAUUUGAAACCAAUAUUUACAUAUAUAUACACAUACUACAUACCUAGAUAGAUAGAUAGAUAGAUAGAUAGAUAGAUAGAUAGAUAGAUAGAUAGAUAGAUAGAUAGAUAGAUAGAUAGAUAGAUAGAUAGAUAGAUAGAUAUAAAGGAUUACCGUCUUUCAUAAUCAAGAUAUUGGCAGGUGUAGUUAGUAUAUUAAGCUUCUUAGUUAUCCAUAAAUUCCAUUUGCUACCGCCUGCAUUGUUAUAUUUUUUGUCUCUCAACGAUUUUCUAUUUCAUAAUGGCAUCAUUUUCUCUUUAUCUCUGACUUAAAACGAUAUUUCUUCGAGUAUUUUUAAAGAAUUAUAUCUCUGGGAUGUGAAAGAAUAACAAAAAAAUAUUUGAUUUUAUACUUGAUAAUUUGUUAAGACUUUUCAAAUUCACAAUAAGAAACUGGAUGAAAAAGUUCUGAAUCUUCAUCUUCUAAAACUACUGAAAUUUUAUUUGAUAAUACGAAUACGAAGAUUAGGAUGCUGAAAUACUAACUCCUUAUCUUUUUUUCCCUUGUUUUCGAGGUGGAUUUCUAGACUUCUUCAUCGAUAUUGUUGAUGUUCCUUUUUCAUGAUUGGGCUUUUGAUAUCUGAGAUGAAUAGCGUAGCAUAAAAUCACAAGUGAAGCAUCCUUUCUCUAGAAGUCAUUGUUGAAUUCGCCUUUCUUUCUCGUUCUUCUUUGCUUUAGCAUUUUCAUUCCGAAUGUGAUCAAUAGAAAUGUCUCCUUCAAUUCUACUUUUUAAUAGAAGUGGUCAAAUAUCCACAAGAAAUAGCCAUAAAAUGAGAAAUACUUGCUUCUUUCAACUUUUAAAUAAUAAUUUUCUUCAUUUGAACAAAACAAGGGAAUCUCUGCGUGGUCGCGUGACAUUCUAGAAAUAGUAACCUUAUCUUCCACAUGUCGGAUCUCAGCGUUUUAAACAAAGGACAUAUAAGACAGUAUAUUCUAAAUAUUCUUCCAAAUACAGGUUAUCAGGAAUUGAAUAUCUUUGUUCAUAGGUCAGCCCAAUGAAGGUCGGCCUUGUGCUAAACAACAACGUCAACACCGCAAUUUUGCAAUAAAGGAGUAUAGUCGAUGGAACUGAAUGCAGUGUGUUACUAGAAAUUAUCUUAUUGACACAAGAAGAAUGUAGGAUUAUAUCGAUUACAGUAUGACUUGAACACAAAGCAUAAAAAAUUGUCGUUAAAACAUUGAAAGACGGGUGAUUUUGUCUGAUGCCCUACAGAUUCAGUCGCUCUAUCGACUUCUAUGAAUUUACUUGAUUGCUUCUAUUAGAACAAAACAUUUAUAGAGGAGGUGUAGUCCGUUGCAUCAACGGUCAUAGUGAAAUGAAUGUAAAAUCGGCCUAAACACAUAGACAUACACACACAGACACACACAGACAGACACGGACACACAGAUACAGAUACACACACGUGCGCGCGCACCUACGCACACAUACAGAAGUAUAUAUAUAUGAACGUAUAUAUAACUGUAUAUAUAUAUACAUACAUACACACACACACACACACGCAUAUAUAUAUAUAUAUAUAUAUAUAUAUAUAUAUAUAUAUAUAUAUAUCAGUGACGAAGGGGGACUUGGAAACUAGGGCAUGCAGUCCAUGAUGCAGGUCAAUCACCAAGGCAGGGAGUGGGGUAGUGGAGCCUUACUCUCCCCAUUCCUGAAAACUAUUCACCUUCCCUGUCUGUGUAUACGAUAUGAACUAAUUUUAAUUUGAAAAAAUGCACUUUUUCCAACAAGCCAUGCUUCGGGCUUGAUACUGCUCUCAUCUGGACAUGAUGGUUCCCCAUUAGCUUGUCAUGAUGACCGUUAUUGGUUACAAGAAAAACCUGAGAAAGUAACAGAACCUACAUAUAAUAAGCUGGCUAAAAUUUAUUUGUAAAUCGGUUCAAUUUUUUCGUUUCGUUUUGGCAAAUUCAUCGACCACUUUGCUCUAAAAGGUAUCAGUAUACCGCUAUACCUUCAGAGUCAACAAUUCAACAAAUUUCAAUUCCAGGUUUAAAACAAUGGUGUUUUAAAUCUUUGCUGAACGUGAACAAUAAUUUUAUGCAAACUAUCAUUAAACAAAGUUCUCAAAACAACUUCUGGUUCUUGAUGUCGACCACGCUUCACUGGUGUUUCAGCGACACCAUCCAAAACUUCACACUAAACUUCUUCGAAAUUAUUGUUCUUGAUAUAGUAGUGAAACCUAGGAUUUGAACCCUUUUCAUUAAAUUAUCAGUUCACUAUCAUAAGUAAGCCACAGUGGAGCAUGCGGUCUUAACUUGAACACUCUAUCGACCAAUCAGUUUUCAGGAGAACAGACAACUAGUUAGAAUAUCAUCUCAAGUGUCCUUGAGACUCGCGCCUUUUCUCCAGUUAAGCAGUUUAGCGCUAAAUAAAUCAGAACUGUCAUGUCAUUCGAAGAGAACACAACUCGGCUCCCACCAAGCAGAUGAAAGACAAAGUUUCAACAAGAUUCGGCGAUCUAGCAUCUUGAAAAUAACUUAUGGCCGAGCAAUCAUAGUUAAGUUUAUCCUUAUAUUCUUGUCCUUCUACCAGUGAAGAUUUGAUAAUCUAUGUAUGUAUUCAUAUUCAUCCUUCCCUUUAAAAAAAAACCUUGUGUUAGAUGUUCGCCAGUUUUGCUUCUGUUCGCAAUAUACGCAAAUAGCCUAAUCUUAAACCACGAUUAAUACAAUUACACUUACCGCGACAAUGUGAAUCAAUUGCUUUUUUGAAGUUCUCAACCUCGCGAAUACACCUCGAAAUAUCAAGUGAACUUUCUUGAAGACUCAAAAGAAAAAUCUCUGAGCCACUCAGAGUUUCAAAAACUACUAAUUAAAAUUUAAACUGAAAUUCUUUUAGGAUUGCAACGAAUCCCCUUUCCUGUGCUAAUUCUGAAGCAUUCGAAUCCUCUGGAUUUUCUAAUAUUGUUAAAUAUAGCCAAGAAAACUCAGUAAUUUCGUUAGACAAAAUGGACACUUGUCGACAUGAAUAAUUCCAACGUGUCUUAGGCAUCUUUGGAAAUCGCCUUCCAACGAUUUUAUCUAGUAAGGCUAUUCGAGACGUCGAUUUUGAGAAAAAGUUGAAAUUCCUUUUAGAGGUUGGAAGAAAAUUCGACAUUCAUUAAUACUUGAAGCCGAUUGCGAGGGUACCAAAUUAAGUGAAUGUGCGUAACAAUGUACAAAUAUGGCGGUCGCACCAAAACUCUUUCUUCUUGCUUACACUUCAAGUGUAUGAGAUAAAGUUUUGGCCACGAUUGAACUCAUAAACAAAUUUGCGAACUUCUGUCAGCGAUGCAACUUUUCUAUCUUUGCUGACAUCGACGUAUCUCAAAAACCUUUCUCGAGGUUUUUCCUUCACAUCAACAAAUCGCAAGACUCGUAACAAUUGAGAUUUCAUUCCAAGUCUCUUCAAACAUAACAACAAAUAAUGAUUUUUUUCAGUCAUAGCCUUUUAUUUCACCUUCGAUUGUAGCAGCAAUAUAAUUAAUGAUUUCGUUUUCAAUAUUCAGUAAAAAAUCCAGAAAAUGUGCAGUUGGCAUUUUUCUUUACGAAAUCUGAAUGCAAUCUUAAACAAUCAUUGUAUUCCGAUACUGCCUCAUAUGUAGUCAGAAAAUUACCCUUAGUGUUUAAUUCUUCUGUUUCAUUAUGUCCUCCAAAUUUUAAUUCUUGACAAGUGAAAAUUUCAAUACAAUAGAUUAACCGUUUCACUAUAUCAUGAUCAAUUAUGAAACUGGAUUGAAGCUACUUUCCAGAGGUCGGUCGCUGUAUCAAUUCGUUGUCAGCCAAAGGCUUUCAUAGUAAUUACGGUAUUCAGAUGGUUUUGAAUUUUUUGUGUUUUGUCUAAGAUAUAACCAAUUUAUGCAAAUCACAGUAGACAAUAGUUAUCUAUGUCUUCUUAUGCUGACAAAAUAACAAAUACGGAAAAACAGAGCAAUUUGUCCAGAAUGGGACAUCUCGUCAUCCAAUCAUAAUAUUCAUAAUACUUGGAAUCAAAAUAAUGAUGGCAUUCCUAGCUGCCCACUUUGGUUUUCCUUUCAAUUCAAGCUUUGGCUUCUCCUUUCCGAGAGAGUUGUAGAAGCAGACGGACAGAAGAAUUAAGAAGGGGCGAGAAAAAAUGACAGGGACAUAGUGAAGUGAAAAGUGGAAGGAAAGUGAGUAAGAAGAGAAGGCAAAGAAAUGUGAGAGAGGGGCAACGAAAGAACGAAGAGUGGAAUGAACGAACAUAUAUAUAUAUACAUAUAUAUAUAUAUAUAUAUAUAUAUAUAUAUAUAUAUAUAUAUAUAUAUACACACUUUAUUUUAAGCAGCAGAAAAUUCAACAAAAUCUGUUACUCUGAGUUUCUCGUUGCCGUUCAUCAGACAGUUUUUGCUAGAAAAAACUGUCUGAUGAACGACAACGAGAAACUCAGAGUAACAGAUUUUUUGAAUUUUCUGCUGCUUAAAAUAAAGCAUAUUACUCUACCACUGGUAUUUGAGUACUCUUUUUUCCACCUUGUUUCACAUUUAUGUGUUUACUCCGGUAUAUAUAUAUAUAUAUAUAUAUAUAUAUAUAUAUAUAUAUAUAUAUAUAUAUAUAUAUACACAUACAUACAUACACACAUAUAACUCUUUUUGGUGAUUAACAAAAAUUUUAAUUGACUUGUGGUAUUGAGCUACACCUCUUUGUGUUCAGAGUUUCAUCGUUUUGAUUAAAUUAAUACCAACUAAUUAUGGCUAGCGUCGAUUCAAUUUUUUGUACCUUCGAAAAUGUGUAGCGUUGUGCCUACUUUAAAACUAUCUAUGAACAGUAGUCGAGAAAUUUUGAUGUCUUUCUGAAGGCAUUUAUCUCUUUAUAUAACUGCACAAAUGUCUAGUGCCAUCCCAAGAUGAAGUUGCUUCUGAAUUCAACAUAAUAAUUUUUUUCCUUUGCUGCAAAAUGCGAAAGACGUUUUCCAAGAUAGUCCAACAAGUCUGGCAUGUAUCCAUAUAUUUUGUAAGGUAUCCUCCCGCUGCCUUUUCUGUCGUCACCAUAAUGAGUUAUACUCCAUGGACCUGGUUCAUUUCGUGUCAUUUUCAUUCCCUGAACUAGGAGAUUUUGAUACUUUUAAUAAUAAUUCAUUCACAUUAAUUGUUAUACGUAUAUACGCACACACACACACAUACACGCACACACGUACACGCACACACAUAUGUAACAGAUAAUGUAAAUGUGAACAUAUAUAUACAUACAUAUAUGUGUGUAUAUGUAUGUAUUAAUACGUUUAUUCACAUACCUGUGCGUGCAUGUGUGUUUGAAAAUGUGUAUGGUUAUGUGUGUAUCUCUGUAUGUGAGAGAGAGGGGAGGGGAGAGAGAAGGGAAGGAGUGAGAGAGGGAAGAAGAGAGAGAGGGAAGGAGAGAGAUUCUCUAAGAAAGAGAAAAUCGAAAACGAAGUAACUGCUACUCACCUGCUGAUGGUUGUUUAAUCAUGCGCACAGUAGUUAUAAGUAGUAAGUAUUUCCUUCAAGAGUAGAACAUUAAAAUAUCUUUUUUUAGCCUGUUCAAAGCUUACUACUCAAAAAAACGCAUUUAUUGAUAUAUAAUUGUCUAUCAGUCUGUCUUGUCCUCUCACUUCCUCUCCCUCUCUCUCUCUCUCUCUCUCUCUCUCUCUUUCUGUAUAUGUAUAUAUAUAUAUAUAUAUGUAUAUACACACACACAUACAUACAUGCUUGCAUACAUACAUACAUACAUACAUACAUAUAUAUAUAUAUAUAUAUAUAUAUAUAUAUUUAUAUAUAAUACAUAUGUUAUAUAUAUGUCAUAUACAUUUAUAUAACAUACAUCUAUAUAUGUAUAUCCUAUAGAUUACAUAGUUCAUAUUUAUGUAUUUAUGUCCAUAUAUAAAAACAUAUAUAUAUAUAUAUAUAUAUAUAUACAUUCAUAUAUACAUUCAUAUAUAUUUAUGUCUAUGUGUGUAUGUAUAUGAGUAUCUAUGCAUGUAUAUGUGUAUACAUGAAUACUUAUGUGUAUGUAUACAUAUUAUGUAUGUGUGAAUAUUAUGUAUGCAUGCAUGCAUGCAUGUAUGUAUGAAUGCAUGUAUGUAUGUAUGUAUGUAUGUAUGUAUGUAUGUAUGUAGGUAGGUAGGUAGGUAGGUAGGUAAGUAGGUAGUAGAUAGGUAGGUAGAUAGCUAGCUAGCUAGGUAUCUAUUGUCUGUCUGUCUGUCUAUCUACCUAUCUAUCUAUCUAGAUAUUGUUGUGUCUGGGGAGAGUCAUUUUCUUUUCGUGCAUUAUAAUUUAACACACGCAACCUUUUCAAUAGUCUUGAAUCUCAAGAAAGACAAGAUUACUGAAAAAGUUGCAAGACGCAACGGAAAUUUUAGGAAAAUAAAAAUAAGGAAUAAGUGGAAAUUUUACCGGUGUGUUAAGUUAUAUGACACAAAAAGAAAAUGAGUCUCUCCAGACACAACAGAUUAUGCUUCAACACACGAACUCACAUAAAUAAUCUUGCAAACCAAAUCCCAAAACGAAAUACAUACAUACAUACAUACAUACAUACAUAUAAGUAUUCAUGUAUACACAUAUACUCACAUACAUACACACAUAGACAUGAAUAUAUACAUACAUACAUACUUACACACACACACACACACACAUAUAUAUAUAUAUAUAUAUAUAUAUAAAACCUUGAACUCUCAACCUUGAACUUGUUCGCAUAAACUGUCCCGUUUGUUGUAUUUUUAUUUUCUCAUAUAUUACCACUUUUUUACAUUCAUUUCAUGCUUUCCACAGUUUCCUGCAUUUUUGUUCUCCUUUCCGUCUUUCUUCCCUCUCUGGAUGUCCAUACUCUGUUUCCUCUGCCUGCACCCCCUUUUUGCCUCCCCUCUCUCUGCUUCCCUUCUUUCUUUCCCUUUUCCGUUUGCCCCGUCUUUUUUGCCCCUAUCGCUUACUUAUCUAGUUUUUUCAUACGAUUAUUAUUUUUUUGUUUUUUUUUAACGUUUGUUUUUUCCCCUUUUUUUUCGCUAUCCUUUUUUAUCUAUUCUUUUCGUACGAUAAUUUUUUGUUUUUUGUUUUUUGUUUUUUUGUUUUUUCGAACGUUUGUUUUUUUCCGCUAUCCCAUCAUGCCGGAUCCUAGGUCCUACCUCCUCACCCUCCAUCAUCGUUUGAAGGAUCAUCUCCGUUCUCUCCCCGUAUACUGCCUUCAGCCGUCCGUUAAUCUCUCUCUACUUCUUUUUAAAAAAACCCGCUUCUCUAGCCAUGUCUCUUUCCUAAGCCGCUGCCUACAUCACCGACUCAUCCCUAAAGGUUUCCGCCUCCACUUCCACCCUGCUCUCCACUCGGAUUCUUCCAUCUUACCCAUACUCCGCACCACUUCUUACCGCCUUAUGCGGGCCACAAUUCGCUCCAAUCUCCCUAAACUACAUACCAUCAACCGCCUUCUUCCUCCUGCUUUCUCCACAUUCUUCUCCUCUCUGCCGCCUCUCUAUGCUCCAAACACGCUACGCUUCAUUAUUCAUUUGAAUCACCUCUUCCAUCAAUUUCUUUCUGAUACCAAACUUCGUAAACUCCAAUCACUCUUCCAUUCCACCCUACCCGACGCCACUACCCCAACUCCUCCACUACCCUUCUCCCCUCCCAAUAGGCUCCAUCCACCAACACCUAACCCCACUGCCCCUCCCUACAACCCCUUCUCCCCUCCUGAUAGGCUCCAUCCACCUACACCUAACCCCCCCCCACACACACCUCCCCAAUCCCUCCCCCUCAGACCUCCACGAGACCUACCACCCCUCCUACUUCUAUUCCACCCACCCCUUCUCCACUUCCGUCUGUUGUUACCAUUCCCCCCGAUCUUCCCCUCUCUGCGGCUGAACGCUCCGUCCUUGGUAGGGGUCUGCGUUUCAUCCCCCUCACUCCAUCCUGUAAGGAAUUCCAGACGCGAGUUGAUGUCCACAGCUUUGUGCGCCGCGUCCGGUUGGGUGCGCAUUACCACGACUCGCCACCCACACCCAACGAAGAGGACUGCUUCACUGGCCUGGGCCGCCGACCAUCCCCGUGGACGCCUGUCCCUGGCCAGUUCCUAGCAGUGGAUCUUUUCGCGGGCGCUUGUCAGCGUGCAUUGGAGCGGUUCAACUUCUUCAGGCGCCAACGCCGCCUCAACAUCUCCCCGGCUGAGCUCUUGGUUCUUCGUUCCCCAAACCGGCUGACAAGGGUGGAGCUGUAGUGGUGUGGCGCGCGGACCUCUAUAAGGCCGAGGCUUUCCGCCAACUCAAUGGCACCUCCUUCUACUCCCCUCUGCCCACUAACCCCACACGUAGCUACCAACAGACGGUAUCCUCUACUGUCCGCGACCUCAUCUCGUCCUCCCGUCUCCCCCACACCGCAUCCAACCUAAUUGUGCGAACCCCACGUACCCCCACCAUUUACUUCCUCCCCAAAAUCCACAAACCCAACAACCCUGGCCGCCCCAUCGUCUCCACCUGUAACUGCCCCACGGAGCUCAUCUCUAAAUACCUCGACCGUGUCCUUUCCCCCCCUAGUGGCAUCUCUUCCCUUCCACAUCCACGAUACCAACCAUGCUCUCCGGCUUUUCAACUCUUUCUCCUUUCCUCCCGGCUCCUCCAAAAUCCUUUUUACUAUGGACAUCCAAAGCCUCUAUACUUCGCGAACUACUGAAAGAUGCAAUAGUAACACAUAUACACAAGAGGUAGUAGAGCUGAAGCUAAAAAUUACAGACCUCAUUCCCUCAUAUCUCACACAUCUGAGUCUUUUGAUAACAUACUAAAAGUUUUAUCUAAAGACUCGGAAUUUUUAUCAUAAUGAAAGAGAUCAAAAGCAAAAACAGCCUACGGAUUCAAGACGGUCAAAUGUUCGCCUCCCAACCCAUUACUACAACCCUUCGAAGAUGACUUAUUCACAAUGAACAAGCAAAUAAAAUUCAACAAGCGAAGCAACGAAGUGCAGAAAGUACUGAAGAACUGAAAAUUAGCUCAUAUAUAUUUAUAAAAUCGGGCACGAAAAAACUAGCCUGUACCAGAUAAGUCAAAUAACGUAUAACCAUUUUCUUUCUGCAACUGGUGCAGGAAGGCUGUGUGGUAAGAAGUUAGUUUCUAGGUUCAGUCCUACUGCGUGGCACCUAGGGCAAAUGUCUUUUACUAUAGCCUCGAUCCGACCAAAGCCUUGUGAGUGGAUUUGUCAGAGGGAAACCGCAGAAGCCAGUCGUAUAUGAAUUAAAUGGAUGGCUUAUUAGCAAUUUGAACUUAAAGGCUUCUAUUAAUUUUGUCUAUAUAUAUAUAUAUAUAUAUAUAUAUAUAUAUAUAUAUAUAUGUGUGUGUGUGUGUGUGUGUGUGUGUGUGUGUAUGUAUAUAUAUAUAUAUAUAUUCACACAUAUAUGUACAUACAUGUAUGUGUGUGUUUGCGUCAGUGUUUGUUUCCCAUCGCCGCAGGCAUAAAAUCUUAAAAACAGUAAAACAUUUGAAACCAAUAAUUUUUUCUAACGGAUAAACAUGUAAAUACCUCACCAUCUUCUCUCCUUCCACAUACACCAUAAAUCAUCCCCAUAAUAUACAUAAAAAGCAUGUUUAAAGUUUUACACAAAAGAGCUACUAUAGAAAUUAUCUAAAAAUGUCCCUAUUUCCAAGCAAAAUCCUCACAAAAGAUGUUCUAAUAUAAAUCCACAAGCAUAAAUACACACAUAUAAAUAUAUAUUUACGUGCAAGCAAGUUGGAAGAGUCUUUCCUAUAUUUAAUUCUUCUUUAAAUUUUUAAAUCAAUUUUUCAAAAUAAAUUUCAUUCCCAUUUUUAUUCGUGUAUAUACACACUUUUUAUAAUGCUUCAUUUUCGCAUAUAUUCACAGGAGGCCUAAUAUGAUAUAUCAUAAAAUACCCAUGUUUGAAACUGAGUUGAAAAUAUAUUUAUAAACACAUAGUCCUCAAAUUCUGCCUUCAUAAAACACAAAGGUUAGAAUUUCUACACAUUAGUCAAAUUGCUUAUAGAACAAUGAACCCCUAGAGAGGAACAUAUAGACCAACAACCUUAACACUUACCCACCUCUUGUGAACAUCAAAACACAGGAUAAACAAAUUUCUGUUCUAACAACAUAAAAUGCCAGGCUAAUAACUCCCACCUUCCAGAUACAAAUAGGAAGUACCCUAAAUAACAAUAAUUAAAGAAACUGAGCAGCCAAAAAAUAUCACCUUUUUACAAAAAAAAAAAAGCUAACAACUAUUGUUGAGGUUUUGAAUACGAGACUAAACUUUGAACCUUUGAUCUUUGCAUUUUCAAAGCAAAGGAUUAAAUCCAAUAAAAGCAAAUAUAACUAAAACUACUGGAAUAUUCUAGACCUACCCACAUCCUUUUUGUGAACCUUCUAAAAACCAAUCCGAAUCUUUUCAGUUUGAACAGCAGUUUUUUCUAGCGGUGUCAUAUUAAAUUGUCACCCAUAAUUAUGACCCUAGUAUCGAUCUAUUGCAUUUCAAUCUGUUUUAGGGUUAGGGUUAGUUAGGGUUAGUGGGGGAAGGGUAUCUUUUUUUCUUCAGAAAUGUAAAUAAACCCAAUCUGUUUCUUAAACGAGGGACAUAUUCAUACGGCACAGAAUGUUUUCACCACAACAGACAUCAUUGAUUGGUUGAAAUUGAAGAAAUCGAAGAAAAAAACAACAAAUAUCUCACAAACUAUAGAUUUUUCUCAGUAAAGCCAAGAGAAAAAUAUGUUUUAUAAACACAUUCUACCUGUAUACGAAGUUUAAAAGUGUUUAGUUACGUGGAAAUUAUUUUAAAAAACUGCCGUUCAAACCGAAAAGAUCCACCAAUCCAAUGAUCUAAAUGGAACAUGCCUAAGCAUACACACCUGCUUACAAAGUUCUACAUACAUAAAUAAAUCCUAAACAGCGACACAACCCCAAAUUUAAUCAAUAAAAAUUUCUCUAAAACACCUCUCUACUACAAACCACCCUACAACCUAGUUACCACUCCACUCAAACCUACACACCUAAGUAAGAUUUUAACUCACAGAGACUAUAUAAAGUUAAGAUUAACUUAAACACAUUGCAGUCCGCCGAUGGCUUACCUGGUCGGAAGUUCGAAACUGUCUUUGAUCUUAGUUUUUAAGAUGACUCAGAGAGUCCACUUCAAAAUCCACUCGUUCAAAUUCAAUGAAGUUUUCUCAUAAGUUUCUGGGAGAAUAAUUAUCCCUUUCAGAUUAGCUUUGAGCCUAUCUUUCUGCCUUAGUCAAAGUUUUCCCAUGCUUCUAUAGCUCUUUGGGACAGUAAUAAAGUUAGCUGCACGACAGAUGCGAAGAAUGGAACAUUUCUUCCUGGAAUCUGUGGAAAUGGUGAAACGGUUAAAGAACAACUGCCUCGAUAUCUGUAGGUUCCCUACCUUGAUUAUAAAUUCACAGUUUUACGAAUAAUUAUUGGAGUAUUUUGUUAGGUGCAUAGCUAAGUGGUUAGAGCGUCGGGCUUACAAUUGUGAGGUUCUGAGUUCGACUCCCGGACCGGGCUGUGUGUUGUGUUGUUAAGCAAGGUAUUUUAUUUCACGUUGCUUCAGUUCACUCAGCUGUAGGAAUGAGUUGCGACGUUCUGUUGCUAAGCUGUAUCAGCCUUUACCUGCCCCUAGGACAACAACGGUGGCAUGGACAGAGGAAACUGGUAUAAAUGGGCGAUUGCUGGUCUUCCACAAACAACCUUGCCCGGACUUGUUCCUCUGAAGGAAACUUUCUAGGAGCAAUCCCAUGGUCAGUCAUGACCAAAGGGAGAUCUUUAUCAUUUAUUUGGUUGUUACAAGAUGUUUAUUUGAUUGUUACAAGAUGGCAUGCUCAAAAAGCUAGGAUUACCAGUCAAAGAAAGUGACCAACUAAUACUUUACGAUUAAAGUCUAUAGAUAGAAUAGUUAAAGUAUGCAAUGCAUUUCCAUUUUUGAUGUCCAAAUUCCAACGAUAUAGCUUUGUUACUUUGUCAGAAAAUAGCUCCUUGAAGGAAAUCACACAAGCACACACACACACACACACACACACACACACACACACACACACACACAUAUAUAUAUAUAUGUAUAUGUAUGUAUAUGUAUGUAUGUAUGAAUGUAUGUAUGCAUGUAUGUAACUAUGCAUGUAUGUAGGAAUUACAUAUAUUCGAAGGGUUUCCACACAGUUUCUGUCAUAUAUACAAGAAAUUAUUUUACUCGAGUUUACUGUGGAACAUAUCAACUAGAAAUGAUACGCAGCGAGAUUAAACCUAAAUUCAAGUGGUUGUAAUAUAUAAUUAUUAACCACACAACGUGUAUCUGACUAGCACUUCAUUUUCGUUGAUCUCUGUCUUAAACUCAAAACGUAAAGAUUUUUAACUAAAUAUCACUCAACAUUUUGUCCGAUGUUUUACUGAUUAUUACAGUCUACUAACGAUCAUGAUCGUGGUGAGUGCCGGGCGAUAGACCAGGUCGUUGAGACCACAAUAUAUCUUCGAUACGCAUUUGAAACCAUUUAACUUUAUUUACUCAUCCGAUACUCUUGAGAAAGCCACGCGGCUUAUAAUAACAUAUUUCACCUGCUCUGAAACAUAGGAUACCGUGUCUAUUCAAAAAGAAUCUAAUCAAUAUUUAUUGUACACUUGAAUCGUAGGAAAGUCUUCAAUGAUAAUACUGGUCCUUUUUUAAAAAAAUCGAUACACACACACGCGCAUACAUGCACACACACAUAUACAUAUAGAUACAUACAUACACAUACAUAUAUACAUACAUAUACAUGCACAUAUGUAUAAAUAUAAAUUGUAGGCUUCGAUCACACACGCACAUACACACACGCACAUACAUACGUACAUACAUACAUGCAUACGUGCAUACAUACAUACGCAUACAUACACACACACAUACAUACGCAUACAUACAUACACAUAUUUACUUAUAUGAUUCGUUUGAAAUAUGAAGUGCCUACAUAUGUUCUUAUGAGGUUAAACACGUAAUUUAUUUUGGGCUGAAGAUAACAUUGAUUUUAAUGAAAUUAAUCGGCUUGUGCGCUCCAUAAAUAGAACAAAUUCAUUGAAACUAAGCGAAGCAUUGAAUAUCGAACACCUAUAAAAGUGUGUCUAUUUGUGCAAAACUAACAUUUUUCUUCUCAGUGAAUGAUUUGAACAACGCCACUCAGAAAUGCAACAACACAAUAUACAAAAUGUAUCCUUUGCUAGUAAAUGACUGAACACAUAGAAGUUGCUUCAUUUAUUUCUCUCCUUGAGCGCCAAAUUAUUCAUACUUAAAUUGUUUCGAUAGUUUUGUCGUUACAUUUCUGCCGUUCCUGUUCAAGUGCACGAAGUACACGCAACAGAUUUUGCGUGCGUUUAGUUUCAGGUAUAUUAAAUGAAAACUGUUUUUAUUGAUAGCAAUUAGAGUUCUGGAGAAUAAUUUCUAUAAAGUGAGCUAACAAGUAUCAUUACUUUCGCUGAAGAAAUUCAUAUAUAAAAUAUUAGAUGCGUGUAUCUGUCAUUGUUUCUAAAAUAUAUGCAAUUGUUGUUUUAUCUCUAGGUCAGCUCUGAUUAAUCAAACCUAUUAUCAAAGGUAUUCCAGUCUUGAAACUCGCGAUUUUUUGCGUAUCUAGGGCUCUACUGUCCAGUAUAUCGUUCUUAAUUGAAGACUGUAGAGUGCGAUUUAAGGAAAUUUGGUUGCUAUUCCUGCUGGUCAAGCGAUUCGUAAAGACUCCCUUGCAGUAUAAUAAGCAGUGCAUCAGAUUGAAGAUCAAAUUCUAACAUGAAAAACAGUAUAAUAGCAAUUAAUGAGAGCGACCAGAAUAAAUUUCAUGCGGUUUAUAGUUAUGUCUCCUCAGGAAAUUGACUUCGCCUUCUUUCUAUUGUCCUGGGACAAUAGAUAACCUUACAAUAAAUCACUCGGUCCGUAGCUUAGAAAUACUGGUUGACGUCCAGCGGGAACAGCUUUGUUUCAUGGAGGAGGAAAGAUCUUCUUUAGUACUUGGUUGUACAAUGCUUUCCAAUGUGUGUAGUAGUGGAGCGCGCACACAUUAUUAGCCAUUUGAAAAGACUAUGGAAUUUACAAUUAACUGCACCAGGGUUCCUCUUCCCCAGGGAACCAGACCUAAUGGUAUACCUGCGGAUGUAGGUCCAGCCCCUGCUUUGCCGGGUCCUGUCUCGGAUCACGUUGCACCUCCAAGGGCAUCCAUUGACGGUGAUGCCCUCAAUCUUAACAGACGGGUAUCACCUGAUGGAGAAGAGUCAGCUCCCAACCAAACAACACCAAACAAACACCUCAUCAGCUGUAGAAAUCAUACGAUACUCAGCACCCUCAAUGCCCGCACCCUCGGCCCUCUUGGCCGUCUAGAAGAACUUGGUGCAAAUGCAGAAUCACAUGGCAUUGAUAUAAUAGCUGUCCAAGAACACCGAUUUUACCACCCUGACAACAUCCUCAAAUACCAUCAAGUCGGUUCUUAACAACUUGUAACCUCCUCAGCAUCAAAGAAUACUGUUAAUUCAACAGUUGGAGGUAUCGGAUUUCUACUUUCAUCAAAAGCUAGUGAUACUCUCUUGAGUAUAGAGUCAAUCUCACCUAGAAUUAUGGUGCUUGAGAUAGAUGGAAACCCGAAAACAACAUUGGUAUGUGUGUAUAGCCCACAUAAUUCGUCUGUGGCAGACGAGAUUGAGAAUUUUUAUGCAAUCCUUCGUUCAACCAUUGAGCAAGUACCUCUCCAUAAUUUUCUAGUUAUAGCUGGUGAUCUGAAUGCUAGACUAGGAUCCGAUGAGACCAAGUUUACUUUCAACUCUAAAACUAAUCGGAACGGAGAAAUGCUCAAAGACUUCUUGGAGGAAUUUAAUCUCUACACCUCCAGCAAUUCUUUUAUGAAACCAAAAGGUCAACUUUGGACAUUUGAGUCCCCACUUGGUGAUAGGGCACAAAUUGACUACCUCAUCUUUCGAAAGAAAUGGCGCAAUAGUGUUAAAGACUCGAGAUCCUACUCUUCCUUUAGUUCUGUCGGCUCUGACCACAGAAUUGUAUCAGCUACCGUUAAGCUUAGUCUUCGCUCAUCCAAAAAAGCUAAGCCUCAUCCGAUGAAAAUGAUCGACUGGGAGGAAGUCUUAUCUAACCCCGAUAUGUCCAAACAAUUUACUAUUGAGGUCUAUAACACAUUUCAAUCUCUGUCUACUUCUGAAAUAGACGCUGAGAACAUUGAAGAAGUAUACAGCAGCCUCAUCAAAUCAACAGAGGAAGUUGCACUGGCUACUCUUCCCAAAAGGAAGAGUAGGGGCCAGAGCAAACCUUCUAAUUCCCCAAAUGUCAUCGAAGCCAGAAACCAUCUAAAGUCUAUAUCACUAGCUUACCACCGUUCUCCAUCCCAGUCACUGAAGAUCCAACUCAUAGCUGCCAAGAAGAAUCUUGAUGAGGCUUACUUGAACGCCGAGGUCGACUUUAUCAAUGGCAAAAUUAGUAAACUAUCCAAAGAGCACAUUAGUAAAAAACACCAUCUUGCCUGGAAAUCCAUCAAAGACCUAUCAGGCAAAAAUUCUGGGUCAUCAAUUAGAAUUAAAGGGGGAUCAGCUAAGAAGCGUUUAGAAAAUUGGUCAACCCAUUUUAAAAACCUCCUUGGGAAGAAUGCCAAAAUCCCUGAUAACCCCACUCUUCCAAGUGUGCCUAUAUCAGACACGCUGGACAUCAACACCUCCCCUUUUACCAUAUUUGACUAACAGCAACAACCAAGCAACUAAAAGCCUCGAAACCAUUUGGUCCCGACAACAUCCCAGCUAUAAUUUGGAAGGAUGAUAGAUUUCACACACUUUUGCUUAACCUCUGCAACCACACACUUUCCACCUUUGUCGCUCCAAAGAUUUGGCACCAAUCUCAAAUCAUUCCAAUACCCCAAAAAAGGCGAUUUAUCCCUCGUCACCAACUACAGGGGUAUAUCUCUAAUGUCAAUUGCUGCAAAACUGUACAACAAACUGAUCCUAAAUCGUCUUGUCCUUUUUGUUGAACCUUUGCUCCGAAAGAACCAAAAUAGAUUCAGACAUGGGCGCUCACAGAUACUAUACCUACGCAGACUUAUUGAAGAAUCAAAAGCAUUUAAUCGCGAUCUUGAAAUGGUAUUUGUAGACUUUUCUAAAGCGUUCGAUUCUGUAGAUAGGUUCAAGAUGUUUAGAAUCCUUAAGCUCUAUGGGAUACCAGACAAAAUCAUUUCUGCCAUCAAGGUCCUCUACACAGAUACGUCUUCAACCAUCUUAACCCCUGACGGAGAAACAUCAUCUUUCUCAAUCAAAGCCGGAAUACUGCAGGGAGACAUACUCGCCCCAUUUCUUUUCAUCAUUGUUGUUGAUUAUGUGCUACGUAUGUCAGUUGAUACCAUCUCUGGCAAGGGCUUUGAAAUAAAACCAAGAAGAAGUUCCAGACACCCAGAUGAGUACUUGACAGACACUGACUUUGCUGACGACAUCGCUCUUAUCAGUGAUUCUCUCUCCAAUGCCCAGUCUCUUUUACAAUCUCUUGAACAAGCUUCAAAUUGUGUAGGUCUUUACCUCAAUGAGGCCAAAACUGAAUACAUAAACAAGUGCCUGUCCAACAGUGAUUGCAUCAUCCAUACUCUCAACAAUGCGCCCUUAAAUAUUGUUUCUGAUUAUAAAUAUCUUGGGUCAUACAUAUCAACAUCUGGAAAAGACUUUCUAACUAGAAAGGGUAUGGCCUGGUCAGCCUGUAAUGACAUGCAUAAGAUCUGGUCAUCAAAUCUAAGUAGAGACUUCAAACUUGAAAUCUUCAAAGCCACAGUCGAACUAUAUGGUUCAGAAACCUGGAUGUUAUCAAAGAAGCUUGAGAGGCGGUUGGAUGGAACCUACACUCGCCUCCUUAUGAGAGCUUAAAAUCUCUCGUGGAAGUGCCAUCCAACCAAAAUGCAAAUAUAUGGGAAACUACCACCUGUGUCAUCUCUUGUGAAAGGUAGGAGAGUCCAGUUUGCUGGACAUUGUUGUAGAGUUGAAAAAGAAGUCAUUUCUACUCUUCUCCUCUGGAAGCCAUCUACUCGCAAUACCAGAGGGCGCACACUCUCCUACCCUGAUGUAAUCUCCAGGGAUACAGGCAUCCAGCAACAGGACCUCCGUAAUGCCAUGAUGGACCGUGAAGUCUGGCGUAGCAUGGUAAAUUCCAUUGUCUCGACCACGGUCGAACAAUGAUGAUGAUGAUGGGACUGUUCAGACAACUAAACAUCUCUAAACCACCUACGCCUCGUGGUUUAUAACAUCACACAAGUGAUGUUAUUCGAGAUUGUAAGCAAAUCUUAAAAUUUGAAAAUAACAAAAGAUAUUGGAUUUAUUAACAUACCCUGACAUUUAAACGAUGCCUUUAAAAACAAACUUUGAACAUCAAAGAUUUUCAGUCUGCAAUUUUAAAACUAAAAACAAUGGUUCUUUUUUUUUUUUUUUCUUUAACGAGAAACUAAUUUGGAUUUGAGGAUUUAUGUCUGCAAUGCUUUUUUCCAUGUUUCGCUUGUGUUCGAAAUCUGUAAAUAUAUAUUUUAAUUGCAUUUGAAAACAUUAGUUUGUUUUACUAACUAAAAAUUUAAAGCUGUUAUUUCAUUUCGAAUUUAUUAAAGAUAUAAUGUAAUUACAAUUAUAGUUAUACAUUUAAGGUGCAUUCGAAAUAUAUUUUUAAAUAUAUGCUUUAAAUGUAAACAAAAUAUAUUUAUUAUGCAAAACAAAUUGUAUUCAUACAUUUUAAAUGCGAACAACAUGUGCUUAUAUACAAAACAAGAUAUACACUUCAAAUGCAAACGAUUUGCAUUUCUAUAAAAAUACACGUGUACCUAACGCAUACACACAUAUGCACAGAGAAACGCUUACACCGCUCGUUUUCCCUUUUUGAGAGAAACAACUCAAGUUUUUCUGAUGAUAUUUAUAAAUUACGCAACCCAACAUACAUUUUGUUGUCAGGACGUUUUACCCAAUUUGAAGGUUUUUUUAAUAUUACUGAAUCCUAAAAUGGAAUCCAUUUUAUAUCAUAUCUAGAUUUCAAGAUACCCAAACGUUCCAAUCAUCUGUGGGUGAAACGCGUGGAAUUUAAGAUGGUCAACUUUCUCCUGUCAAAACAAAAUGAAUACACCAAAUAUCCAUGCUGUUUAUGUAUGCGGGACAGCAGAGAUAAGGGAAAACACUUGGUGAUCAAAGAAUGGCCGCAACGAAUAUAAGUUCCAGGGAUGUUUAGUGUGGUUGAAGGGCUUUUUGUACAACCGGAAAAAUCAUCCAACUUCCACUCUAUAGAAAGCUUAGUAUUAUGAAUCAGUUCGUUAAGGCUCUGGAUAAAGGUGGCGCAUACUUUCACUAUGCCAAAAUAGUCGACAAAAUUAGGACUUUGGUCCUAAUUCCAUCAGAAUGGACGGCUUUGCUGGGUUUUACAUUCUUGCAAUACUUUUACGAUAUCAUGUCUUUAAAGAUCAAGUUAUAUAACGCUCUAUCAAAGGAUUAUCCGGUGCCUGGUAGCUGUUAAUCAACAAUUGAUAGGAAAGGCUUUUCUUCAAAUGUCUGGUAGAAACCUUUGCUUUUUUAUCUUUUCCAUAUGUAUGUAUAUAUAUAUAUAUUUAUAUAUAUAUACAUACAUACAUACAUACAAACACACACGCACACACUCAAACACACACACACACACACACACACACACACACACACACACACACACACACACACACACACACAUAUAUAUAUAUAUAUAUAUAUAAGUACAGGCUGCAUCCAUAGCAUCAUUAUUAAAACAAAUGCGACUGUGCGCCUUGCGGUAAACAAAUGCAAAGGAUUCUACCAGGCGUUUGAAGAAGAAAACUGCAUGUCAAAUAAUGCUGAUAAACAGCAACCACCAAGCGUUAGAUAAUCUUGCGAUAUGUGUGUGUGUGUAUGUAUGUAUCUAUGCAUAUAUAUUUGUGUGUAUGUUUGCAUGUAUCUAUGUAUGUAUGUGUAUGUAUGUAUGUAUGUAUGUGUAUACAUACAUGAAUACGUUUAUACAUACUAUGAAUAUUUAUAAAUAUUAGACAAUUAGACAACCAUUGUUGUGAUGGAAUUAUAAGGUUGUAAAAGUAUGACUCUAAAAUAAUUAUAUAUAUAUAUAUAUAUAUACAGAGAGAGAGAGAGAGAGAGAGAAAGAGAGAGAUUCAAAUAUAUUUUCACUUUGGUCAAUCUAGCACAACUGACAUAUAUAUAUGUGUGCAUGCGUGUGUGCAUGUUUAUAUGUAUAUAUGUGUAUGUGUGUGUGUGUGUGUGUGUGUGUAUACUUCGUUUUUUUUUUGUACCUGGAUUGCAAGAUUCUUUAUGUGAAUUCGUGUUGAAACAAAUUAUGUUGUGUCUAGGGGAGAGUAAUAUUGUCUUAAUACCUCAUUAUCUAACACAAUCGUCGGUUCAAUUUCCACUCAUUUAUUAUGUAUGUUUUUUCUUCCAAAAUUUUCGUUGCUUUUGCAACCUUGUCAAUGGAUGUUGAGUCAACAUCCAUUGACAAGGUUACAAAAUGCAAUGAAAAUUUUAGAAGAAAAUUAUAAAUAAUAAGUGAGUGGAAGGCGAAACGGCAUGUUAGAUAAGGCACGAAAACAAUAUGAAUGUCCCCAGACACAACACACACAAACGAAUAUAUAUAUAUAUAUAUAUAUAUAUGUGUGUGUGUGUGUGUGUGUGUGUGUGUGUGUGUGCGUACAUAGUGAAUGAGUGUGUAAAACAGAGAGAAAGAGCGAGAGAGAUGAGGUGAAGAAUUUUACGAUGGUCCAUAAAUUUUCUCAUGCUGAUGUUCCGUGACAAAUUUUUUCACUCAAUAUUUGAGUAUUUUUCCUGACAGAAUAGACAGUAGCUUCAGAAACUCUCCUGCAUCCAUCAGCGAUCAAAGCUUAGUCAUACACUUUGGUGGGCUGCGCAGUAACACAACGAAAACCUGAUAGUAAAUUUCGAACGGUGAAUUCAGCAACCCCAUCUGGCCAAAACAGCUACUCUGCGUUGAUAAAGAGCAAUUACUCAUAAACUAGUCCACAGAUAGUGUGUCGUAUAGCCAGCUAGAAACGAUCUUUCCUGGGGCUAAAACAACAGUAAGAUCAUCCCUUUCGCGACAGCCACAUUAUGUUGGUAAAUAGCCUUUACUUUAUAUAUGUAUAUAUAUAUAAAUUUAUAUAAAUAAGGAUAAGAUCGUUAGUUUAAAAUAAAAUAACGAUUUUAUCAAGUGGUCAGCGUGGAAAAAUUAACCUUCAAAGGUAAUAAUUAUUAAAAUUAUAAAUUAGGGUGUCUACGAGAUACCACCAUGUUUUCUCUCCGAGUUGUGAUAUGGAAAAUUAAGGUGGUUUUAGAGUCAGAUCAUGGCUGCUAUUUUCAGCAUGGUGGUAUCUCGUAGAUACCCUAAUUUAUAAUUUUAUACACACACACACACACACACACACACACACAUAUAUAUAUAUAUAUAUAUAAAGGUAAAGAUCUCCUUCGGUCAUGAAUAACUAUGGGAUUGCACCUAGAAAGUUCCCCUCCGAGGCACAAGUCCGGGUAACGUUGUUUAUGGAAGACCAAAAGUCACCCAUGCAUACUUGUGUCCCCUCUCCACACCACUGAUGUUAUCCAAGGGAAGGGCAGACGCCAAUACAGCUUGGCAUUAGUGACGUCGCAAUUAAUUUCUUCAGCUGAGAACUGAAGCUACCUGAAAUAUAAUGUCUUACUCAAGAGCACAACAGACAGCCCUGUCCGGGAAUCGAACUCACUGCCACAUGAUUGUGAGCUCGACGCUUUAACUACUGAGUCAUGUGUGUAUGUGUGUGUGUGUGAAGGUGUGUGGCCGAGUGGUCAGAGAGUGCCUCUCACGAUCGCAAGAUUGUGGUCCCGUAAGAUCGCAAGAUCGUAGUGUGUUGUGUUCUUCAUUUCACGUUGCUCUAACCCUUCCAGCCGAAAAUGGGAUAAACCUUCGACGGACUGGGGUUUCGUUUAAAGGGGAAUGUUGGCCUGCUCGCUUAGCCAGCAAGGUAGCAUCAUCGAAGGGUAGAGCAUUGCGAGGAAGCGCUUUGCGACCAGCCGUGUAUAACAGCAUCCAAUACUCCACUCGAUACAGUGAUGUGCGUGUGUGUGCGUGCGUGAGUGUGUGUGCCUGUGUGCGUGAGUGUGUGUGUAUGUGUUUGCGGGCAUGCGUGUGCGCGCGCGCCAGCGUGAUAUAUACCAUAUUUAUUACAUUUUUCGAAAUCUACUUUCAAAUAUGUAAGAGCAAUGCCACAACUUUCUCUCGCUACAUAUGGAAAAUAGAAGAAAGUCACAUCAGGUUUAAAACAUUUUAAUCGAUAUUAACGAGUAAGACAUAUGUCAACGGCAUCUCCUUCGUAAUCGCUUUAACGAAUAUAUAUAUAUAUAUAACGAAUUAAAUAUAUAUAAUGAAUAUAUAUAUAUAAAUAUAUAUAUAUAUAUAUAUAUAUAUAUAUAUAUAUAUAUAUAUAUAUAUAUAUAUAUAUAUAUAUAUAUAUAUAUAUUUAUAUCAAAGCGUUUCCAAGACACCAGACAUAUUAAAUACAAUCGAAUGAAUUAGCAAAUGCUAACUGGCAAAUAAAUUUACUUCACUAACUUCAAUAGAUUAUUCGAACUACAUUGAGAUACCGGAUGCAAAUCUCUGUUAUAUCAGAAGUAUUCUCACCACCACUCUAGUUCUAACCAGCCGCAAGUCCACAACACGAUAUUCCAUUACCACAAUAUCAACAGAUAGUAUCGAAAUUACUACUGACAAAGUAUUAGGAGUUAGCGUGGGCGGGAAAUUGGAUAUGUAUGUAUGCUUAGGUGAAUACACACAUACAUAGAUACAUACACAAACACACACACGAUCGUUCAUACAUACACUGCAUGCAUACGAAAAUCCAUGGACUUACGAUGAAAGAUAUAAACUUGUCUUUCACUGCGUUUGAAGACUUCCGACACCAAAGUAACAAACUAAUGAAAAACAAAAGCCAAAACGAUAUGAUGAAAAUUUGCUUAAGAAUCCCACUGAUGUUUUGAAUUCUAUUAUGUCAGUAGAGAGAGAGAGAGAGAGAGAGAGAGAGAGAGAGAGAGAGAGAGAGAGAGAGAGAGAGUGUGUGUGUGUGUGUGUGUGUGUGUGUGUGCGCGCGCGUGUGCAUGUGUGUGUAGUGCGUGCGUGUAUGCAUGUGAGUGUGUAUGUGUGCAUACACAUGCGCAUAGCUAUUAGAAGAAAGUUACGCCAACUUAAAAACAUCAUAAUCGAUAUUAACAUUUAACAAUAAAUAUGUCAACAGCCCCAUUUUUGUACUGUCCGUUCGUGUGUGUUUGUGCAUCAGUACACAUAUACAAAUGUAUAUAAGUACCUAAAUUUAUGUACAUAUAAUAUACAUGUAUACAUAUCCUCGCACAUAUAUAUAUAUAUAUAUAUAUAUAUAUAUAUAUAUAUAAAUAUAUAUAAAUAUAUAUAUAUAUAUAUAUAUAUAUAUAAUAUAUAUAUAUAUAUAUAUAUAUAUAUAUAUAUAUAUAUAUAUAUGUGUGUGUGUGUGUGAAGGCGCAUGGCUCAGUGGUUAGAGCGUUGAGCUUACGAUCGUGAGGUUGUGAGCUCGAAUCCCGGACCGGGCUGCGUGUUGUGUUCUUGAGCAAAGCACUUUAUUUCACGUUGCUCCAGUUCACUCAGCUGUAGAAAUGAGUUGCGACGUCACUGGUGCCAAGCUGUAUCGACCUUUGUCGUGGAGAGGGGAGGCUGGUAUGCAUGGGCGACUGCUGGUCUUCCAUAAACAACCUUGCCCGGACUUGUGUCUAGGAGGGUAACUUUCUAGGUGCAAUCCCAUGGUCAUUCAUGACCGAAGGGGGUCUUAAAGAAUAUAUAUAUAGGCGCAGGAGUGGCUGUGUGGUAAGUAGCUUGCUUAUCAACCACAUGGGUUCAUUCCCACCGGGUUCAUUGCAUGGCAAGUGUCUUCUACUAUAGCCUCGGGGCGACCAAAGCCUUAUGAGUGGAUUUGGUAGACGGAAACUGAGAGAAGCCCGUCGUAUAUAUGUAUAUAUAUAUAUGUGUGUGUCUUUGUGUGUGUGUGUGUGUGUGUGUGUUUGUGGGUCUGUGUUUGUCCCCCCAACAUCGCUUGACAUCGCUUGACAUCGCUUGUCACCCCAACAUCGCUUGGUGUGCUUACGUCCCCGUAACUUAGCGGUUCGGCAAAAGAGAACGAUAGAAUAAGUACAAGGCUCCCAAAGAAUAAGUCCUGGGGUCGAUUUGCUCGACUAAAGGUGGUGCUCCAGCAUAGCCGCAGUCAAAUGACUGAAAAAACUAUGAAGACGGGAAUGAUACGCAGUAAUAUACAUCUGGAAAAUCCUAGAAGAAUUCGUACCAAACUUUGGCAUUGUCAGUUACACAAACAGAACUGAGCGCCACUAAUUAAUAUCAAAAAUUCCAAUAUUGCCAUCAGAAUACAGGAUCAGAUACUGCAACAACUUGGACUCCAAGGGUCCACAGCUCUUCAGUAUCCUCCCACAAAACCUGAGAGGCCUUUAUGAGAUGGAUGUAGGCGUUUUCAGAACCAAACUGAAUAUCCUCCUCACAGGAGUUCUGGAUGAAUCUACCUCAAGGCAAGAAACACAGAUGAGGACAGCAACAUCAAACUCACUCAUUCUCCAAAUGGUACACAUCAGAGAAGCUUUAGUGAAAGUGUAGUAAAGCAAACAGCGGUGCCCCAGCGUGGCCGCAGCCCUCGGGCUGAAACUAGUAAAAUAAUACAUAUAUAAUUUAUGUACAUACAUAUACACACACACUUGCACACACAUAUACACACACACACAAUGCCGUACACUAUCUUCAUCAGCUGUUGAUUGGAGAUCACAGUGAUUUCGCCACUCUGACAGUAUCGCUCCUUCUGUAAUGCCUAAAAGCAUUUAUGCUACCAGUGAAAGUCCAUGUUAUUUUGGCCCUUAUUGUAACACACCUUCUCCCUCAUCAUCCAUCUAGUUUCCAUAGUAAAUUGGGUGCAGCUCUAACCAUUACAACCAUGCAGCAACUAUUUCAUUUUACUGCUUGCUAAAUAUUUGUUUUAUGUUCCCUUUUACAAACAUCUAUCGCAUUUUUAUCCGUUCCCACAUCAGUGCUAAAUCUCCAUUUUGUUUUACAAACCUCCCUCAUCUUCUUGUCCCACACUGAAAGUUUGCUACUUUCAGUCUUUCUCUUCCCUUUCUCUCUUUCUUUCUCUCUCUCUCACUUGUCUGUCUUUCUCUCUCUCUCUCUCUCUCUCUCUCUCUCUCUUGUUAUCUGUUUCUCUCUCUCUCUCUCUCUCUCUCUCUCUCUCUCUCUCUCUCUCUCUCUUGCUGUCUAUUUAUUAAUGCAAAGUUGCAACUGAUUAAUGCUUGUACGCAUGCCAGCUACAAACAGAAACUAAUAGAUAUAAUUAUUUUAAGUUGGAAGUCAAGUUUUACGAAUGCGAAUUCAAUUUACUGUCUUGAUGAAAGAUAGCCUUGGCUUUCUUAUUACAAAUUGCUACCACUGAAAAAUAAAUCCCAAGGACAGUUGCUGUACUGCAUGAUAAAGAAUACUGUUUUGCUAAUGUCAAAUAUAUAUAGGAUACUCAAAAGUUAGAAUCCUUAUAAUCACUUUAUGGCCAUGUUAGUAAAACGUAAAACAUUUAUUUGAGGUGCUAAUAUAACAAUGCUCAGAAUUGCCAAAACUAUGAUAGGUGCCGAUAUACCAUCAAGGCUCAUCACAAACUUAAAAUCAUUUCUUCGUUAUUGUAUGCGCUGCAGUUCCAAUAUUUGGAUAUUUGGAUGUGGGUUUUGCUCUAGCCAUUCUAGUUCCCACGCGGUGUAUGAAUGAUUAGUUCACCUAACCAUCCAAUUUCCAUAAAUCUUUUUCAAAUUAUUUUAAGAAUUAGAUAAUUUGAAGAAUGGUAGAUGAUAUAUCACAAUUAGUAAGUUCAAAUGAAAUAGGAGUGAUUUCAUACUUACUUCAUCUUGUGUUCAUCUAUAUUAAUAAAGGCGAAAUUCUGUCUGUCCGUCUGGAACUCCUGUAUCUUAGUCUAUAUUUGCUCUAUAUAACAUAUACAUUUUUGGAAUCAGGAUGAUCCUGGGAUUGAAAAUCUACCCUUCAUUUGGUUCUUGAACAUCCAGCAUUGGGGUCUAAUUUAAAAGCAUUUGUGUUGCUAUUUCUUGCAGGUAAAGAAAUUGUAAGAGGUUUCAAUGCUAUAGUACAAGAGUCACCUCCUUUAGCUUUAAGUUUUAGUAAGAAAUUUAAUGGUUCUUUAAUCAUUUCCAGUCAUCAGACUGCGACCACAUUGGGGAACCACCUUGAAGAAUUUUAAUGGAACAAAUCGACACCUGUUCUUUCUUUUUUUUGUGCCUGGCACUUUUCUAUUGGCUUCUUUUACCGAACCGCUAAGUUACGCGAACGUAAAUACAUCAACACCAGUUGUCAAGUGGUGGUGGGGGACAAACAUAGACAUCAAACAACAACAACAACAUAUAUAUAUAUAUAUAUAUAUAUAUAUAUACAUAUAUAUGUAUGUAUAUAUGUAUGUAUGCAUGUGUGUAUACGUUAUUCAAAUUUAAAAAAAAAACUCCAAAACUUUGUGAACUUACAAAUUUUUCAUUUAAACUGAAUUUAAUUCAAUACCCUAUUGGUAGGGUACCAAUAAAAGCCUUAUAAUUAUUGUUCCCUAUCAUUUUGGGCCCAAUUAUCCCUCCACAGGAACUAGCUUGAAAGUCCACACGGACUGCAGCUUUUAAGCUAGUAUUUAAUAUGCUUGAAUUUGAUAUAUAUCAUACAAAUUAAACUACGAAAUAUAUAAUCAAUAUUAAUUUUCAAAUUUUGGUACAGGACAACAAUUUCGGAGAAGGGGAUAAGUCGAUUGCAUCGACCUCAGCACUCAACUGCUACUUAUUUUAUCAACCCCAAACGGAUGAAAGGCAAAGUCGACCUCGGCGGAAUUUGAUCUCGGAGCGUAAAGGCGGGUGAAAUGCCGCUAAGCAUAUUGUCCGGCGUGCUAACGGUUCUGUUUGCUCGCUGCCUUAUAAUAUAUUAUCUAUUUUGAGCAACUAUCUGUUGCACAGUGAAUUAGACACCGUACCACGCAUGUAUUGAAAAAGAAUAUCAAUUCUUACAUGAAAGAUAACUUUUCAUUAGUAAUGAAAUAUCAUCCUGCUAAACCGGAUAUGCAUUCAUUAAAACAAUUCUAGGCAAUUUAUAGCUACUCUUUCGCCUGGGCAACGCUGCACUAAGUAUUCUGCUAGUGCAUGCGCGCGCUUGUGUGUGAAAAUGUAGUAAUGCUACGACAGUAAUAGUUAAUUUACAUCUUUCAUAAGAAGAUUUACUCUUUGUAAUUUCUGUAGCUGGGAGUUGUGGUGAACGGCUUUGACAAGUCUUAAAAAUACGAAACAAACGUUGAUCGAAUCUUCAUCCUCAGCUACAGAAGACCCUGUCACCAGUUUAAAUAUUUUCAUAUCAAGAAUAGAUACAUAUUUAUAAAAUAUAUCGUAAAUAAUUUUACGUAUUCAAUCAACACAAUGCUGUGCUGGAGAUUUUGUGAAUUAAUUUCGUCCGUCAAACAUGCAUUAUGAAAUAGUUCAUAGUUGUAAUGGUAAUAAUUUUUCCAAGCCAGCUUCAGGUUGCAUUAUCAAAUUUGCACUCUUGGAAUCUUAAAAUUUAAUAGCUCGCCACAGCGUCGCUAGUGAAAGUAAAGUUGGUGGUGUGAGAGGAUAAUGAAAAUAGAAAGGAAAAUGCGUAUAUUUGGAAGCGGGUAUAAUAAAGAGACAGAAAGGUGAGAAAACAAGAGAGAGAGGGGAGAAUAGAGAAAGCGAGAGAGAGAGAGGAAGAGAGAUACAUGCGGUCGAAGAUUGACACAUAUUUCAUAUAUAAAUGCAGAAUAAAGUCGUAUACUCAGCCUGAGGCAACCGUAAUAAUAACACUAGAUUUUCACCUGUAGAAAACUUAAUAUUUAGCUGUCGAGCACAGUGAAGCACGUUCGCUGGACUUUACCAUCGGAAAGCAAAUAAAUUUCAAGUUCUGUACUACUGCUGCUACUACUACUACUACUACUACCACUACUACUACUACUACUACUACUACUACUACUACUACUACUACUACCACCACCACCACCACUACUACUACUACUACUACUACUACUACUACUACUACUACUGACAAUAAUAAUUAGGAACAAUACAAAACAAGGGACAAGUGGGGUUUAAAAGUGUAAACUACACAAACAAAAACAGUUAAAAAAUACUAAACGACAAAAUUCCCCAAUAGCGGGGAGUUCCACUCAGGGCCAACCAUGAUACUUCACACAUCCUGGUCACCCAGACUGCCAAGGGUACGCCAAGUAGGCACCCCUCCUCCCCUCAACUGCUCCUGCUUACAGACGAAUAUUCAGAAUAGGCCUAUUCACACGAACCAAUCUCGCAACAUUCACCCACCUUUCAACAAAAUUACUGGUGGUGGUGGUACUACUUCCCUCUCAAACCCUCGCUUUCCUUUUCAAGUGGAACUUGAAAAAGUCGAUGAUGGAUCGGCCGAAGAGGAAAGUGUCUGUCUUCAGUCCUACACUACCUCUUUCCCUAUAGUCACCAGGCAGAAGAGAACUGCCGUUCCCUCCAGGCCCAAAAAAAAAGACGGUGGGGUGAUCCUCACAAUGGACUCGGCUAAUAACCGGAUCCAUCCUACACGUGACAACAAUUGUCCGAUAAAACUUCACAGGUCAGUAAUGCAAGACACUGGACGAGUGCAUGCAAGACGGUGUCAUCACCCUGGGACACACCUGGACAGGUCCGUCUGAUAGCACUUCCGUGUCUAUAGAGCUUGUAUCAAAUCGGCAGAGCUUCCCAUUACCAGGCCAGAAAUUUCUGGAAGUUAUCCAUAGGCCCUGUCCCGAAAGUCCUCCGGAAAAGUCCGUUUAGUUGAUCCCUCUCGAUGCCCAGAAUUUCUGCUCUUUCCCACCACUAAUCCUCUAUAGAAUUUCAUGGUGGAACUGCCACUGAUCCUGUUGCCCGACAGGCAGAAGGCCAUGAGCGCUUGCUGACACUCCAAGCACCCUUUCUUGGUCUGCGCUUCACCCAGGACUGUAGAUCCAUCAAUGAGACGAGCUGCGCACACCUGCUCACCGUUAAGGAAAUACUGGAGAAGUCGCAGCCUCAGCGCAUGUCUGCGCAUCAUUAGCCACGGCAUGCCCAGUCCUCCAAUCAGCGGUUGUUGACAGCAGAUGGACCUUCUGAUAAGCAGAACUCGUCCCUUCCAUAGGAAGUGGAAAAGCAAGCGCUCCAACUUUUUCAGGCACGAUGUGGGUCAACGGAUGACGGUCAGGCAGUAGUAGAUGACAGAAGCGAUGUACGCAUUCUCCACCUCCACCUGACCCUUCAGGGACAGCUUCUCUGAGAUUGGCUACCCUGCUCCCUGCCAGUUCACCUCCCCGUCAGUUCUUGUCUAACUGGAAGUUUGGACCUAACUGGACCACGAGCAAUUUAACCGGUCCUUCUGUCCAGCGUCUACAACGCUGUUGGUUGACAUGGACUCGCCUAUCCAGGUGCCGAGCUACAGGCCGCACUGACUUCUAGUUGAUAUUUGCUCCUGUUACCGCUUCGUACUCCCUUAGUGUAGUGCUCACCACCUCGAUUUCCGAGAUGUCCGACACUAUUACGGUGACGUCGUCUGUAUAAGCCAACACGAACCUUCUGCAUCCUUGAUCAGGCGGGAUGCCCAACAAAACAUUCAGCUUCUGCAGCAAUGACUCGAGAGCCAGUACGUACAGAAGAUUCAAUAGGUAUCCUUGACGAACCGAACGAGCGAUGUUAAACGAUUCCGAAAGGUGGCCAUUUACAUUGACCACCGAACAGAUGUCACUGUACAUAGUAGCGAUCUAGCCUCUGAAAACGAGACCGAAACCCACUGCCGCGAGAACAGCCUCCGAAUAUUGGUGGUCGUCCCUAUCAAAAGCUUUCAACCGAUCCAAAUUAAUCAGGGCCCCACCCAUGCCAGGUUCCGUAUCCAUCCUCUCUAUGAUGUAGUGCGUGAGAUUGAGGUUGUCGCAGAUAUUUUUGUUUGGGAUAGCGCAUAUCUGCUCGUCACCAACCAACUUAUCGACGGCAAGCGCCGACCUCUUGGUUAACACCUUGGCCAAAAUCUUAUAAUCUGCAUUCAGCAGAGUUAUAAGCCUAAAAUUAUCAAUUUUGUCCCCCUUGUUCGGGUUCUUCCUGAACAGCACCACCACUCCACGGCUCAGAGCACUGGGAAUUAUCCCGAUCUGUUACCAGUUGUGGUAGAUAUCUGCUAAAGAGACCACCGAACAAAUCUGGCAUAUAAAAAUAAAGCUCGAAGAGCAGACCAUCCCGCCUGGAGACUUCUCUCUUGCGCAGGUCUUCAUCACGUUCCGCAUAUCUUCGGCUGUUAUCAGCAUUUCGCAGAGCUCCGCAUCUCUGGCCAAAAGGCGUAGCAUGCCACUGAGAUAGGAGGUGAAAUUCACUACUGUUCAAGAACAACUGCGCGCCCCAUACAGUUCGGCGAAGUACCCCUGAAAUUCCGCACACAUCUGCUAGGACUUGGUUUACAUGUGCCCAUCACAUCUUCCCUAAGAAUUGUUGCUUAGUUUCCACAAAGCGCCCCUGUCACCCAGGCCCAUUGAACGGCUUUCGUCCCCUCCCGUCUCAGUGCACGCGCCCUAGUUCUGACAACGCAACCUUCAUGCUUGACAGUGAAGAAUUGAUCAAAAGCCAAUCUCGCCGCUAUCACGUCGGUCGCUAUGCCUUCCUAAGCGACUCUUCUAGCUUCCUAACUAGGUCUCCUUCUAUCCUAGAUUCCUCUAACGCAAUUUUCUGACCAAACCCUAUUGCUUCUACUCUAAUAGCCCUUUUCAGGGCUAUCCACCAACAGCUGUUGACGAUUGCACCCGCCAACUCUCGAUGGACUAACUUGCUAACUCGGUCUCUGAAAGCUUGGCACGCUGGGAAGGACGUGUUCAGCUUCCAGUAUCCAGUGCCUUGUCUAUGGAUCCUAUGUCGACCGUACAGAUCACAAAUUUGUGGUCUAUGUAACCGACGACUUUCAAAAGUGGACAACUUACAUUACUUCUGUCUACAGGCCUGCAAAAUACUCUCUCUCUAGAUACGAUCUGGGAGACAUCCCAAGGAAAACCUUCAAACGUCUGAAAAACUUUGGCUGCUCCACUCCCUUGGGGGCGUAAACAGCGACUUGUCUAAAAGUACCACCUUCACUAUCGCUCAUGCCCGGGACCACCAACUUCCUGGACCUCCGGGUCCAGUAGGUUCGUCCGAACUUCGAGAUCCAGGUCUUUCCUAAACAACACUGCCACCCCCACUUCUCCUUCCGAGCCGACUAAGAGAUGCGUACAUCUCAUAAUCGUCGAAAAUGGUUACAAGAUCGCGAGUUUCGGAAAUCCUGGUCUUACUGGCUACUAUCACGUCCAAACUUAGUGACCUGAGGUCAUUGAGCAAACGACCUUGCUUCCAGAAUGACCUCAGGCCGUGAACAUUUCUGCAGUCCACUCUGACCAUUACCAUCACAACUCGAAAGGGUUGAGGAAAAGAAAAAGGCAGGUUAUUUACCCUCCUGGAGCUCCGGAUCUGGUUCCUCUGCAAAACCGGCUAAAAGCCUCUUGGUAGCGCGGAUGUUUGGCCUUCCUACGCCAUGCGGGAAGUCCCCCUGAAUUUCUUUGUAUAGUUUGAGGGGUAACCGUAUUAACAAAUUUUUAUUGGCUCUCCUCACGAGACUGUGAGCUUUCUUUUGGGGACUAUGUAUUGUUGUGGGCCCAUUGGUGGAUUUGGUUGGGGUUGUGAUGGUUGUGGGGAUGGUAGUGCUGGUGUUGUUUUUGCUGUGUCUAAUUUCGAUGUGCUGGAAGUUUCUGUGUUUUCGGGUGUUGUAGGUUCUUUUGUUUUCUGUUUCCUUUGCCUGUUUCGUUAAUUUUUUUGUGGGGUUCUUUUUUGUGGGGUUCUUCCUCUUCUUCACUACGAGAUGAGUAGUGACUAGUGUCUGUAUGGUCUGUCUCGGAAAGUGUGAGUGUAUCUAUGAUAGUGUGUGCGUGCUUGUGUGAAUGUAUGCUUGAGAGAGGGGAUGGAAGAAACUCAAAACAUGGUGCUCAUGGGAACUGUUCAUAUCCUUCAAAGAUAUUGUCUAUGUAAUCCCUAAAAUAUUCUAAUCUCUAAACAGUAUCAAAUAACUUUUAAAUGUACAUAAUUGCCAACAUCUUCUACUGUCAUUUUAGCAUCUCACCACCAACUUAUAAUCAAAUUACUUUUAAAACAAGCUUCUAAUUUUCUUAUGUUUUCUAGACAUUCUCUAGAAUGUCUAUGCAAAACCAAAAAUAUGGCAACCUAGUCGUAACACCAACUUGAACUUCUAACUUCUUGUCUUUCGAAGUCUCUGGGUGAGACUUGCAGUCAGCUUGUACAAAUACAAAGCUAAAACCAAACACAUAUAAUAAUAAUAAGGAUUUCAAAUUUUGGCACAAGCCCAGCAAUUUCAGAGAGGGGGUAAAUCGAUUACAUCGACCCCAGUGCGUAACUGGUGCUUAAUUUAUCGACCCCGAAAGGAUGAAAGGCAAAGUCGACCUCGGCGGAAUUUGAACUCAGAACGUGGAGUCAGACGAAAUACCGGUAAGCAUUUCGCCUUUCUAACGAUUCUGCUACCUCGCCACCUAAUAAUAACAACAAUGACAACAACAACAACAAUAAUAAUAAGGAUAAUAAUAAGCUUGGACACCCUGGGCAUCAGAAGAGGGAUUUUCCAGGAUGAUAGUUUACUUCCGUUGCUUUUUGUUUUCUGCAUGGUCCCUCUGACCUUGAAUUUAGGAAAAUGAACCUGAGAUAUCAGCUAAAGGGAAAAUCCCAAACAAUCAACCACAUUCUCUUCAUGGAUGAUUUGAAACUGUAUGGCAAGGAUGAGACACAAGUGAAUUCCUUGGUGAAUACGGUCCACUAUUUUAGUGCUGAUACUAGAAUGGAAUUCGGACUCAAGAAGUGUGGAAUAAUCUACCUAAAAGGUGGCAGGGUACAGUCCCUAGCAGGAAUAAAAUUACCGAAUAAAGACUUGAUUAAGCAAAUUGAAAUGGAAGGCUACAAAUACCUUGGCGUACUAAAGUUCAACGAGACAAUGGAAAAGGAAAUGAAAGAGCAACUGAGGGUGUAAUAUUUCCAAAGAUCAAGAUUGGUGUUGCGCUCAAAAUCGACCGGAUGGAAUAAAAUCGAGGCAGUUAAUACAUGGGCGAUAGCGUCACUUCGGUAUGGAACUGGAAUUAUAACAUGGCAAAAGAAAGUACUGAUGAAAAUGGAUACAAAUCAAGAGCAAAAAUCUCGAACAGUGAACAAAAAUCUCGAGAAGUACGUGAAACAAAUAGGAGCUGCAAUAAGGGUGGAGCACUUGCAGAAAACUGCACUGCUUGGAACUGCUCGAAUACUCCGGAAGUGCUCGAAAAAUAAGAGGUGUUACCUUAGUUCACUGGUAGUGAACAACUGACACCGUAGUACAUCUCCAACGUUAGAAGCUGUGCAAAGGCAAUGAUAAUAAUAAUAAUAAUAAUAAUAAUAAUAAUAAUAAUAAUAAUAAUAAUAAUAAUAAUAAUAGGAAAAGGAGGAGGAGGAGACCCCCUUCGGUCAUGAAUGACCAUGGGAUUGCACCUAGAAAGUUACCCUCCGAGGCACAAGUUCGGGCAAAGUUGUUUAUGGACGACCAGCAAUCUCCCAUGCAUACCAGCCUCCCCUCUCCACACCACUGCCAAGGGGAAGGCGAAGGCCAAGACAGCUUGGCACCAGUGAUGUCGCAACUCAUUUCAACAGCUGAGUGAACUGGAGCAUCGCGGAAUAAAGUGUCUUGCUGAAGAACACAACACGCAGUCCGCUCCGGGAAUUGAACUCACAACCUCACGAUCGCAAGCUCGGCGCUCUAACCACUGAGCCAUGCGUCUUUACUAAUAAUACUAAUACUAAUACUAAUAAUAAUAAUACUACUACUACUACUACUAAUAAUAAUAAUAAUAAUAAUGAUAAUAAAACAUCUGUCUCGAGACAAUCGGAAGGAAUGCACCUUCAAUUCCAAGAUGUAGCUUUCUGGCAUACUGCAUCACGCAGAUUCCUCAUGGGGAUAACGUUCAAAGUAAAACUUUGGAAAAUAUUCAGUUACUAUAAUUGAACAAGUAGACAAUUCAGUUGAUUGAACAACUGGAAUAUUUAUCGUCGAAAAAGACGGAAGAUCCACUUUCAUUUAUUAAUUUAUAUCAUACGUAUACAUACAUAGACACACUCAAGCACGCUCGCUCCCGCAUAUAAACGCAAAGAACCACAUAUACAUUACCAGCAAGGAUCGCAGCCGAAAAGCUGAUUGUUGUUUAAGCUUCUAACUAAUCUAUAAAUAAAAAAGGCGACAUAAAGUAUUAACGUUUCUCCUUUGGUUAUGCAUUCAGUAUACAUACGUGCAUGGAUGUAUAUGUUACGUGUGUGCGUAUGCUGGUUCCAGUGAAUAGGAUAUACAUACAUACAUACAGACAUACAGGGUACGAUGGGUAAAUUAUCGCCCUUUUAUAUUUCUAACUUCGCGCAUGCACAUUGUUUGUUUUUGAUUUUGCUAACUACACAGUAUAGUAUGGUCAGUUGGGCACUGUCUGUGAGAAAGACAGCACCAUGACUCAAUUCACUCUACCAGAAAUUUGGAAACGACAUGCUCUACUGCUUUGUAUUCCCACCGGAAGCUCCAGUACGAAUAUUUCAGAGUGCUUGAGUGUCAAUCUGAGGACUGUGCAUUCUGAGAGCAAGUAUCGAGUGUGAUAAAAAUCAAACAUCCAGUCAAUAUUUUGAGUGAUCACUUGUGAUGGUGACGUCAUGCCUCCAUUCAUCUUCCUACACGGCCUGAGACUCAGCACGAGGGCCUACAUCAAGUGCAUGGAGGAGGUAGUGCUGCCCUGGGUGAAGAGGGUGGCUGCUGGAAUGCUCUAUAUCUGACAACAGGACUCUGCACCAUACUACACAAGCAGGAGAACCCAGUCGUGGUUGUCAGACGACUUCUGCGACUGCAUCACACCUCAGACUACAACCCUCUUGAUUAUUGUGUGUGGGGCUCAUUUUAGCGAGAGACUAACAAAACUCCUUGUAACACCAAAGAUGAAUUGAAGGCAAGCAUUAUGGCAGCAUUCACUAACUUAAACAAGGAGACCGUCCAGGAGAAUUGCAGGAUAAUCCGAAUUUGUCUGGAGCCGUUGUUGAAGCCAAUGGCGGUUUUAUUGAAUAAAUUUACUCUUUAGUAUUUCAAGAUAUUUUAAUGAAAUUUUGGUAAAUAUAUCUGUUAAAAUGAGAUGUCAGUGCUAUCUUCAUGUUUGCGUAAUUUAGACGGCAGUUUAUUCACCGCACCCUGCACAUACCGACUUACAUAAUUUAUGCAUUCAUAUAGCAAAACUUUCUUGCAUAUAAACAUGCAUAUGCACUCACAAGUAAAAAUUCAUAGAUACACACAUACAUAAAAUGCAUAUAUGCAUGCAUACAUACAUACUUCCAUACAUGCGUACAUGCAUGCAUGUAUACCAUGAACAGUUGAACUUGUCUAUUUGAACAAUCACUUUGGGAAAGAAAUUCGUCAUAUCAGUAGAAAAAGUGCAUAUCCAGCCAACUAGAGGACACCAAUACAUAUUGACAGCAAGAAUAACUGCUCCUGGAUCUUUGACAGAUACUUGCAUGCUACCUUGGAAGUGAUAUACUUUUGUUCUUCAAGAACAGGAUAUAGUUACUAAGCAAUCCUAUAUAUGAAUACUUUAUACACUCAUAUAUAGAUACAUAAAAAGUAACCACAUGCAUGUGUAGUAAAUAAAAAUAUAUACACGUUUAAUGAAUACAAGUGUAUCUACACGCAUGCAUAAACACACACACACAUACACAUAUACAUCAUACAAACCUACAUACAUAUAUAUAUAUAUAUACAUAUACAUAUACACACAUACACACACACUCACACACACACAUAUAGUUGAAAUUUAUAGAAAAUCAAAAGACGAAGACAGGUGUAUGAAGAACAAGCAGGUGUAUUAGUUUGACGCUCGGGAAAGUGAGAAAGUCUUUUACGUUUUGAGCCUACGCUCUUCAACAGAAAAGAACGCGAGAAAAUAGAGAGCGAAUAAAAAGAAACUUGUGAAUACAGCAAUCAAUCAUGUGCGUGUGUGUGUGUGUGUGUGUGUGUGUGUGUGUGUGUGUGUGUGUGUGUGUGUGUGUGUGUGCGUGCGUGCGCGCGCACAUUAACUCACACUUAUAUCCGCGAAGCUUCGAAACUGUAUUAUUUGAUAGAAACAUUCUCACUUUGUCAGUAACUGGUUUGAAUUCUGCAAAGAACUUAAUUAAAAACCUCAAGAAAACACACAUAAUUUAAUUAGCUGCAAUAUAAUGAAAUAAUUAUAAUGAAUAUAAUUAUCUAUAUUGAUUUCUUAUUUUAGCACAAAGCCACAUAAUUAUAAUAGAUAGGGCUAAAUUCGAUCGAAGCAACAGCAAUAUGACUCUAGUACUUAAUUCACCUUGCAGUAAUGAAAGGCAAGUCGAUAUAAACUCAGACCGUAAAGGGACGUAACUAAAUACCACAAUGCAUUUAGUCUGAAACCCAAGUGUUUCUGUAACUCCUUCAAACUAGAAGUAAUGCUUGUACUGAAGCAAAAAUAAAUAGAAUAAGGCUCCGAAGUUGUAGAAAUUUUGUCAGACUAAAAUCUUGUGGUAUUUAGAUUUUUACGUAUCCAUUCUGAGAUCAAGACCCACUGUGAUUGAUUUUGUCUUUAAUCAUUCUAGGACUGAUAAAAUAAGUUUUAGGCAUAUAUUUGCACGUAUUCAAUUGCUCUACCAUCAUCCUCCACAUUGUCUAGCUAUAUAAGAAAUCGUUAUUUAUAUAUAGAUUGAAAGUUCUCAAACACUUAAUGAAUUGAUUCAUUAGCAAAUUUGCUUUCUUAUACUUUAGAAAGAUUUUCCUAUUCGCCAGCAGCUCUGCAGGUAUACUUUAGAACUGUGGAAAUGGAUUUUGUCUAUUUUGAUUGAGUGGCGAGAAAAUGGCUAUAACUUCUUUCAAAAGCAUUAUGUUAGUUUCAUUUUUAGUUCAGUGACAUUGUCCUUCUUUCUUUUUGAUUCCGAUAAUGUAUCAUUAACUAACAAGUUUGAUUCUAUUGCUUUUAUUUUCAAGAAACAAUGUAUUUAUAAUUUAGAUAAAAAAAAAAUCUUCUUACUUUGUGAUGGAAUGCAAUCAGCUGAAUAGAUCUCCAAUACUUAGCGGGUACCUAUUUUUUAUUCUACUCUAGGCACAAGGCCCGAAAUUUCGGGGGAGGGGGCCAGUCGCUUAGAUCGACCCCAGUUCGCAACUAGUACUUAAUUUAUCGACCCCGAAAGGAUGAAAUGCAAAGUCGACCUCGGCGGAAUUUGAACUCAGAACGUAACGGCACACGAAAUACCUAUUUCUUUACUACCCACAAUGAGCUAAACACAUAGAGGGGACAAACAAGGACAGACAAACGGAUUAAGUCGAUUACGUCGACCCCUGUGCGUAGCUGGUACUUAUUUAAUCGACCCCGAAAGGAUGAAAGGCAAAGUCGACCUCGGCGGAAUUUGAACUCAGAACGUAACGGCAGACGAAAUAUGGCUACGCAUUUCGCCCGGCGUGCUAACGUUUCUGCCAGCUCGCCGCCUUGGCGGAUACCUAUUUUAUCAACUCCAGAGUAAUGACGAAAAUCGAAGUUGACAUCAGCAGAUUUCGAACUCAUAACGUAGUCAGACGAUAUUCAAUUCAUGUUUUUGCUAUAAACACCAUCAGCCUAAAUAAAUAAAUAGAUAAAUAAAUAAGCAUAUAUGCGUUCCUCUUCAAGGAUUUUUUUUCAAGCUGAAGAUUUGAUAACGAUUCAAGGAUUGAGAAAUAAAGGAUCUUCCUUCUCAAUCAAAGUCUCUUUGCUGAACCAACAAAACUUCUCACUCAGUUUGAAAGAAGUGACAGACAACUUACGUCCUGCAGUAUAAAAAAAGGACGCUCUGGCAAAUAAUUUAAUCGCUAUUUCAGUAAAACAAAAAGACGGUGUGGGUACGGGUAGAGCGCUUUGUUUUAAUGACUAAGAGAAAGGAGAAAAGCAGACUUGAUAGGUGAAAAGGAUGGAGUUAUCCUCAGAUCGGAGAGCUCUGGCCUAAAGAAUGGAUUUCAUUAAAGGUAUCCAAGGGCCUGAUGAUGGAGUUAAACCGUGAAACGGACACAUUCUACAAUUAAGAACAGAAAUAAUCUCUCCCACUGGCUUCUAAACAGUUUUCGUUUACCAGAUUCCAUUAAGAAAUCGUUGAUCCGUGGCUACGAUGAAAAGGAAAUUAACCAAUAUGCUGCGUAGCGGAACCGAAUACGAAACAACGAAGUUACGAAGCAAGCUUCUUAACCAAGGGAUUAGUUUGAGACCAAGCCACAACAAUAUCAGCAAACCAAUUAAUCGGUCAAAAAAACAAGGCACGUGAAGUGGUAAUUAAUUUAUCAACCAGACCAAGUCCUCUUACGUGGGAUUUAAACUCAGAGCAUCGAACAAAACGGCAACUUAUUUUACUCUGCCAACUCUUUUGUAUGUGGAUAUUUGGCAAAUGUAAUAUAUUGUUAGAGAUACAGGCUGAUUCAGUAAAAUGUCUGCUUAUCCAGUUCACAAAUCUUUAGUUAGGCAUCAGAUUGUGGUACAGCUAGUUCAUCGCUUGUAAGUAUUAUUAUUGGGGAACUUCAUAGCUAACGAGUUCGUCGUUAGCUUUCGCUGUUGAUAGGAUCUCUAUGAGACUGGAAGAAACAGAUGCAUAUUGCGCGACUUGAAGAAUGGGGAGCACAAUGUAGGGCUGGUAGAAGGAAAGCAUAUUAUUGUAUUGGGAGAUGUAGAGACAAAUUUAGAGCUGAGAGAAAAGGGCACACUUUGUAGGACCGGGUGAAGGGACGCAUAUUCAAGGACUAUGAGGAAGGGAAAUACAUUGUAAGGCUCGGUGAAGGAGAGAAGAUUGGGGAUGGCUGGAGAUUUAUCAGGCUGACUGCAUACUAAUAAACUUUUUGGUAGUUUCCUCAUGGACUUUGAGACUCCAUAUUAUCUGAUACAGCGUGAAAAUUAUUACUCGGUCUCUUAUUGAUUAUUUUGUUUAAAGCAUUCUAACUAUUGAAUUAUAUUUUUCGAUCUUAUUUAUUUAUUGCUGAUAUUGUAAUUUUAAUGCAGGGAAACUCGUGUGUUAUUUUAUAUUUCCUUGGUUGGAAAAGAAUUUACUCGUGUAGAACGUGAGUGGCUCUGUGAGAUGAGACUUUGAGACCUUUAUUGAGACAUUUAAUAAUGCUCACGCACAAAUAUUUGUUUAAUGAAUACUUAAUGCUUCACAGGAUAUUCGACAUCUCUAUCAAUUAGAAUUUCCUAACAAAGUGAACCUGAUGAUUAUAUUUUGUAAAUGGAAUUUUAAAAAGAUGCAGUGGUGAAGAAGACGAGAAGGUCGUGUUGUGUUAUGAGCUGUUAAAUUAUUUGACGUGAACCAUUACUAAUGUUGCCAAAUCGAAAAUUUAUUCGAUGAUAUGUAUAAUAAUAAACUUUUAGAUGUCUUUUAUGCAAGUUAAUUAUAAUUUUUCAACGGCACUUUUCAGCUGAAUUGAAGAGAGUGAUGACUGGAGGAAUUUGUAGAAAAGAUUGUUAAAAGAGCACGAAUUGUAAGGCUGGGAGAAAGGAGAGAAUGUUGUUGUGUUGGGAAAGUGGGGCAUACAUUUGAGAGCUAUUAUAAGACCCGGUGAAGAAGCGCACACAGGCGCACAGGAAGAAUGGUUACACAUUGUAAGAUUGAGAGAAGGGGUGCAGAUCGUAACGCUGAGAGAAAUGGUGUUCUUCGUAGGACUGGAGGAAAGGAGUACUCUUCGUUGGGUUUGGAGAAGAGACGCACAUUACAGAACUGGUAGAAAUGUAUAAUGUGAAGUUUCGAGAACUUUCUAAUGUGAAGUUUCACAAUUUAGGGGUGAUCUAGGACGCUGAAUAUUCUGUCCAGAGAUAACAUUUCAAAAUCUCAUUCCUGUUUCAGAUGAAAUGAAAUAUAUUCAGUUCAAAUUUACUAUCCCUGAAAUAUUAAGAAACGCAGCUGAUUUGAACUCAUGACCAACAGUUCCCAAUUCCAACAACUUGUUCAGUUGACCGCUUCAUCUCUACAAUUUAUUGAUUAAUAUUUUUUUUCUUAUUAUUAAUUUCUUUUACCAAAAUCCAAUAGCUCUGGUCUUAAUGAAAAAGAAAUAAAUGUGGCACUUUGAAUUUCUCUGAUCGGUAACUGAGUAAGUGAUAUAAAUUGUUGGCAACUGGGAAUCGAAAUUAUUUUGCAAACACUUGUCAGAAACUUAUAUUUUUAGGCAUAAAAUCUUGUAUUUAUUUUACUCUUCAAAACAGCUGUAGGUGUCAGAAACCAAUUUCCUUUCAAUAUUUAGUUAAAUCCAUUGCCUGUUGGUAUUGACAUUGCUUUUCGACCUCUUAUUGUUGAUAGAAUAAAUAAUAGUCCAGUAUUGGGAUAAACAAAAUGGAUCUCCGUUGAUUUCGGCGAUCAGUAGUCAGUUGUUCAAUCAACUGAACUAACUGCUCAUGGAAUUUUUGAAUAAGUGGCUGCGUAUUCCACUGACACCUGAUGUAAUUCUCAAGAGGAAUCAGUAGGAACCACUGUGAAAGUAUGGACCUUUAAAAUCCAGGUACAAUCCAUCCAUGAGCUUUCGCCUAUUUUCCGUCUACUCAAGUUCAUUCACAAGGCUUGGGUUGACCCGAAACUAUACCAAAAGACAGAUGCUUAUGAUUCUACGCAAAGAUAUGAACCCUUGGGAUGUAACAUGACUGAAUUAGAAGUUUGAUUUUUCAAUUGCUAUCAUUAAAGAGCUAUGAAUUUUCACUGUAAAUAUUUUAGGCAUGUCUUUUACCAUAAUUUCGGAUCAAUCCAAGCUUCAUGAGUGAAACUAGAUUGACAGAAACUGAGUGGACGCCCAUCAGAUGGGCUGUACCUGUAAUUUAAAGACCCACCCUUCUCCCUGUGUGUCGCACAGAUCCUUCUUGAAAAUUAUGUUAAAAGUAAACAUGACUGCGAAAGGAUGAACCACAUACAGGCUACGUCAGUAGGGAUAGAUGGAAUUCAAUUGAACUACUGAAUAUUCAUCGUCGAAAUCAACGUAGAUGCAUUUAGUAUGGGAGAUGUAAUCAACUGUGGCCUUAUGCCAAAGAAAAAAGCGUUAUUUAUCUAUUUAUUUAUUUAUUUAUUUAUUGUUAAAUUCAACAUGUUGCUCUCUACUUUUUCUUCCUACUUGUUUCUCAAAUCUGUAUUCUACAAUUUUAGAAAUGUCUGCAAAUCAAGCUAGCAUGUAAACUUUUUCUUUUAUAUUUCAGAAACUUUCAAGAGAAAAGUCAAAAAAGAAAAGGACAGAUAUUGAAUGUUUCCAACAUUUUUGAUUCACUGUUGCUUUCCAAUAAAGAGGAAAUACAUUGUUCAGGAAGAAGAGUUAGCUACGAAAUAAAGCUCAUUCAGAAGUAUGAAUGGAAGAAACUUCUAAUUGAUGCACUGCAGUAAAUAACAUUUAACACAUCAAGUCGAUAAACAAGAUGAAAGAACAUUCAAAUUUAUCUUCAAAUUUUACACUGGUUGAUAAACCCAAUUUAUUCAUGCAUAUUGCCGAUACUUUACAUAUUUACGCGUUACCUGUUUUGAUUGCUCUUGGAAUACCGGGAAAUUUACUGUCUUUUAUUGUAUUCACGUGCAGCACAGUAAUGAAUAAACUUCCAUCAAGUACAUACAUGGCAGCACUCGCUUUAUCGGACUCGGGUUUUCUUUCAAUUCUCUUGUGCAUCUGGCUUCAGAAAAUGAACAUACAUGAAUACGUUACACAAUUGUGGUGUCAGUUUAUUGUAUUUGGUGCGUAUAUAUUUGGCUUUUUGUCCGUGUGGUUUACUGUUCUAUUCACAAUAGAACGAUACAAAGUCGUCUGCUAUCCUUUGAAAGCAACUCAAAUAUGUACAAAGCGCAGAGCUCGUCUAUCAACUCUCAUAAUAUGUGUCUUUCCGGUGUUUCUUUAUAUGCCCAGCUUUUGGACGACUAUUGAUUAUCACGGGCACUGUUCGUAUCGCGAAGAACUGUUUGUUCUUCUUACUGUGAUAACGUAUAUGGAUACUGCACUUACAUUUAUUUUGCCUUUUCUGGCUCUUCUUUUCAUGAACCUUCGAAUAAUUUGGGCUAUCCGUGCUGUGAAAAAGCGUAUGAACUGGUUACAAGAAUCACAGCCGCAUGAGAAAACACAAAGUUUGUUAUCAAAGACACAAAUGAAAUUGACCAAAUCACUGGUAAUUGUUUCAAGCGUUUUUCUAAUGAUGGUUCUGCCUAGUCACAUAACAAGGUUUUACUCUUUAAUAUUCACGAAUUUCUUAUCUUAUGACAUAAUAUCAUUGCAGACAGCACAACAUUUCUUACAAAUUCCGUAUUAUUUAACAUUUGGAAUCAACUUAAUUUUAUAUACCGGAACAAGUUACAUGUUUCGUCGAGGUUUCCUGGAAAUUUACCGAAAUAUUAAAGAGAAGAUUCAAUGUAUAAUACCAACAUGAUAUAAUACUACAAACUUCGAAUUUCCUUAUUUUUUUCCUUGCAUUCUAUAAACGUUUUAUUUCCAAUCAUAAAUAACAGAAUGAUACUUACUUUUAUAUGGAUCUCUUUUACAAUUAUUGGUGUUAUGAUUAAACUUUAAAAAAAAUGUUAACCACCAUUUUCAGCAACAUAUCGUAGUAAAAACAAAGGCUUCAGUUACACAAUUAUCCCAAAAUUAAUAAUUAUCCAUGCAGUAUGUAUGUUAAUACAUGCAUGCACGCAUACAUACAGAACAGUAUUGUGUAUGUUACUGUGUAC
rnacentral:lncRNA from 1 species